rnacentral:lncRNA from 1 species
UUUUAUUUCUUUUCUUAUUCUUUGGGGGUCGAGAGGAGAAGACCAUGAUGAAAAUGUUGAGUGGCUCUCAUAUGCAUUAUUGCUGAUUUAACCAAGAGCCCAUAUUACCUUGUCUUCUCCCUUGUAUUAAAUGCUUGCAGAUUCCAGCUUAGUCCAAUGCACGUGCACUAUUAUUAUUAUCCACACCGUUCGGUCGUGCGAGUGAAAGGCAAUAAUGACGAUAUAUGAUGGACUGAUUGAGAUGAGAGAAGCUGGUAUGAACUCGACCUAUCUUGUUUUUUGUAAAUAUGAUUAGUUCAUCGUUCCUGAUUCAGCCUAUUAUGAAUGAAACAUGUUUGCAAUGACAAUUAGAGAUUGUAGUUGCUCAUGCCAUGAUUAAUUAGCUAGGAGUUUAUAAUGGUUUACCUUGCGUGCCAACAUGCUAUUAAAAUGGUUGUGAUGUGGUAUGAUAGGGUGGUAUCCUCCUUUGAACGAUUCGAGUGGCUUGACUUGGCACAUGUUCACGCAUGUAGUUGAAACAAAAUCAACAUAGCCUCCAUGAUAUUUAUGUUCAUGGUGAUUUAUAUCCUACUCAUGCUUGCACUCAUUGUUGAUUAAUAUUAAUGCAUGUUCAUGACUAUUGUCGCUCUCUAGUUGGUCGCUUCGCAGUCUCUUUCUAGCCUUCACUUGUACUAAGCGGGAAUACUGCUUGUGCAUCCACUUCCCUAAAACCCCAAAGUUAUUCCAUAUGAGUCCACCAUACCUUCCUAUAUGCGGUAUUUACCUGCCGUUCCAAGUAAAUUUGUAUGUGCCAAACUCUAAACCUUCAAAUAAAAUUCUGUUUUGUAUGCUCGAAUAGCUCAUGUAUCAACUAGGGCUGUCUAUACCUUCCAUGCUAGGUGGGUUAUUAUCAUGAUGAGUGGACUUCCCUCAUCACUCACGAGAAAAUGGCCGGUAACCGGGAUGCCCAGUCCCAUGCUCAAAUCAAAAUAAUUGCAAACAAAACUCCCCCAGGAUUGUUGUUAGUUGGAGGCACCCGUUGUUUCGGACAAGCCAUGGAUUGAUGUUUGUUGGUGGUGGGGGAGUAUAAACUUUACCAUUCUGUUUGGGAACCGCCUAUAAUGUGUGUAGCAUGGAAGAUAUCGAGAUAUCUUGGUUGUUAUGUUGACAAUGAAAGCAUACCACUCAAAAUAUUAUUCAAUCUCUGUUUCAAAACUCGAGCUCUGGCACCUCUACAAAUCCCUGCUUCCCUCUGCGAAGGGCCUAUCUAUUUACUUUUAUGUUGAGUCGUCAUGCUCUUAUUAAAAAGCACCAGUUGGAGAGCACCGCUGUCAUUCACAUGCAUUGCCAUUAAUUUACAUUGAGUAUGACUGUGACUGGAUCUCUUUUACCAUGAAUUACAAUGUCUAGUUAGUCCUUGAUCUUCAGGGGUGCUCUGCAUUUAUGUUUUGCGGUCUCGGAAAGGGCUAGCGAGAUACCAUCUUGUUCUAUCAUGUUAUGAUUGUUUUGAGAAAGUGUUGUCAUCCGAGAUUUAUUAUUAUUGCUCGCUAGUUGAUUAUGCCAUUGAUAUGAGUAAACAUGAGACAUAAAUGUUAUUGCGAAUAUGGUUAGUUCAUAAUCCUUGCUGAAAACUUGAAUGCUGGCUUUACAUAUUUGCAACAACAAGAUCAAACAGGGUUUGUAAAAGUUUUUCUUUAUCACUUUCAGUUUGUCAACUGAAUUGCUUGAGGACAAGCAAAGGUUUAAGCUUGGGGGAGUUGAUACAUCUCCAACAUAUCUACUUUUCCAAACACUUUUGCCCUUGUUUUGGACUCUAACUUGCAUGAAUUGAAUGGAACUAACCCGGACUGAUGUUGUUUUUAGCAAAACUGCCAUGGUGUUAUUUUUGUGCAGAAAUAAAAGUUCUUGGAAUGACCUGAAAAUCCACGGAGACAUGUUUUGGAAUUAAUAAAAAAUAUUGGCGAAAGAAUCAGCAUCAGGGGGCUCACACCCUGUCCAUGAGGGUGCAGGGCGCCCCCCUGGGGCGCGCCCCCUGCCUCGUGGGCCCCCUGGGACUCCACCGACCUCAACCCCAACUCCAUAUAUUCACUUUCGGGGAGAAAAAACCCAGAGAGAAGGAUUCAUCGCGUUUUACGAUACGGAGCCGCCACCAAGCCCUAAUCUUCCUCGGGAGGGCUAAUCUGGAGUCCGUUCGGGGCUCCGGAGAGGGGAAUCCGUCGCCAUCGUCAUCAUCAACCAUCCUCCAUCACCAAUUUCAUGAUGCUCACCGCCGUGCGUGAGUAAUCCCAUCGUAGGCCUGCUAGACGGUGGUGGGUUGGAUGAGAUUUACCAUGUAAUCAAGUUAGUUUUGUUAGGGUUUGAUCCCUAGUAUCCAUUAUGUUCUAAGAUUGAUGUUGCUAUGACUUUGCUAUGCUUAAUGCUUGUCACUAGGGCCCGAGUGCCAUGAUUUCAGAUCUGAACCUAUUAUGUUUUCAUGAAUAUAUGUGAGUUCUUGAUCCUAUCUUGCAAGUUAAUAGUCACCUACUAUGUGUUAUGAUCCGGCAACCCCAAAGUGACAAUAAUCGGGACCACUCCCUGUGAUGACCGUAGUUUGAGGAGUUCAUGUAUUCACUAAGUAUUAAUGCUUUGGUCUGGUACUCUAUUAAAAGGAGGCCUUAAUAUCCCUUAGUUUCCAAUAGGACCCCGCUGCCAUGGGAGGGUAGGACAAAAGAUGUCAUGCAAGUUCUUUUCCAUAAGCACGUAUGACUAUACUCGGAAUACAUGCCUACAUUACAUUGAUGAACUGGAGCUAGUUCUGUGUCACCCUAUGUUAUAACUGUUGCAUGAGGAAUCGCAUCCGACAUAAUUAGCCAUCGUUGAUCCAUUGCCUACGAGCUUUUUCACAUAUUGAUCUUUUCUUAGUUACUUUUCCGUUGCCACUGUUACGAUUGCUACAAAAACUACUACUGUUACUUUUGCCACCGUUACUGUCACUUCCAUCACUACAAAAAAAAGACACAUCCGUGACAUUUUGGCCCGAACGAAAUUUUUUUCUGUCAUACUUAUGACACUUCUAUGACGAUAAUUGUGACAAAAUGCGGUAUCAUCAUAGAUGUGGUGGGGUCCUACUUCUAUGACAAAAAAUCAUGACAGAAAAUGGGCUUUUCGUCCUGGGCGGGCCGGAGACGCAGCUGCAUGACAUUCUUUGGGCCGUCCAUGACGGAAUAAACCGUGGUAGAAGCAAGGGCGUGGAAAAUAUCAGGGAGUCCCCGGUUACGGUGGGUGGUCGGGGGCCGAGCGAUGCGCGUUUCUCUCGUACGUACGCGCGUGUGUGCGAGGCGUUGGGCUCUAACUGAACCCGAGCGAGGCGUUGGGCUCUCACUGAACCCGAGUGAUUGCACUGCAGGUUACGCGUUACUGAACCCGAGCGAUUGAUCGAUGGCUGUUAACUGAACCCGAUCGAGCGAUUCCUUCGCUACUGCUGCUAACUGAAGCCGAUCGAUGCUGCCUCUGGAUGAACAGUGAGCGUUGCUGGGGGGGUUUGCAUGAACAGUUCCCAGUGGGGGUGGAUGAACAGGACCCCGUGGCGUUGCCUCUGGAUGAACAGUGAGCGUUGCUGGGGGGUUUGGAUGAACAGUUCCGAGUGGGGGUGGAUGAACAGGACCCCGAUCGUUCGAGCCGNNNNNNNNNNNNNNNNNNNNNNNNNNNNNNNNNNNNNNNNNNNNNNNNNNNNNNNNNNNNNNNNNNNNNNNNNNNNNNNNNNNNNNNNNNNNNNNNNNNNNNNNNNNNNNNNNNNNNNNNNNNNNNNNNNNNNNNNNNNNNNNNNNNNNNNNNNNNNNNNNNNNNNNNNNNNNNNNNNNNNNNNNNNNNNNNNNNNNNNNNNNNNNNNNNNNNNNNNNNNNNNNNNNNNNNNNNNNNNNNNNNNNNNNNNNNNNNNNNNNNNNNNNNNNNNNNNNNNNNNNNNNNNNNNNNNNNNNNNNNNNNNNNNNNNNNNNNNNNNNNNNNNNNNNNNNNNNNNNNNNNNNNNNNNNNNNNNNNNNNNNNNNNNNNNNNNNNNNNNNNNNNNNNNNNNNNNNNNNNNNNNNNNNNNNNNNNNNNNNNNNNNNNNNNNNNNNNNNNNNNNNNNNNNNNNNNNNNNNNNNNNNNNNNNNNNNNCCACACCCCUCCCAAUCAACAGGACCCCGUUUCGACCGUAGCGCUCCAACACAAGUCCGUUUCCUCCGUUUUGCGGUAUGCCACACCCCUCCCGAUCAACAGGCCCCCCGUUUCGACCGUAGGAGGUCCGUUUCCUCCGUUUUGCGGUACGCCAGACCCCUCCCGAUGAACAGGAUCCCGUUUCGAACGUGGCCGGUCGAACACAAGGCCGUUUCCUCCGUUCUGCGGUAUGCCAGGCCUUGUUUCCAUCGGCUAUUCCGUCCAAGCCCUCCCGAUGAACACGACGACGCAUUCCGUUCCGACCCAACCGGUUGGCUCCCCAUGAACACGACAAUGACGCCGUUUCUCCGUUCCGACCCAGCCAUGUACACGAGCCCUGGCCAUACGUACGCGCCAGUAGGCGUUCGAGACCCCGCCCGUAUGUACGUACGUGGCCGUAUUUACUUUCUUGCACCCUAGCCGCUGUACGUACGUGUACAUGCUACGUGCGCGCCUCUACUACGACACGUGCGCGCCUCUACAUCGACCAGUAUGUACGUACACGUUCACGACCAGAAUGGCAACGCUAUAUGCGCUUCGACCAGGUGGGUCCCGACUGUCAGGCACUUCCUUGCGUGCGAAGAUGUAGUUGGUGGGUCCCAGCAAUCAAGGGGCGAAUCGUUUUUUUUGCCCGGACGCACUUCCUUGCGUGCGAAGAUGUAGCUGGUGGGUCCCAGCAGUCAGGGGGAAACGUUUUUUUUGUGAAAUACGAUGGCCCGUCCGGUGGGUCCCCGCUGUCAGGUGGAGGAAUAAUUAUUUUGCACGUAAUAAGGAGGCACUUCCUUUCUGCGGCCGUGGACCCAGCUGUCAGCCUCUCCACGUACAGUCCACGUCCGAUGGAAGCCGUUCCUUGACCACGUUGACCACACCGCGCCGAGAGCACCAGGGCGGUGGACGACGGCGAGGCCUAGGAAGGGGAUGACACGGAGCCGGGGAAGACGCGACAGUGGAUGCCCACGCGUAGAGGAGUCUGAGGGUUCACUGGUUCGCUGCGGUGUGAGGCUGCCGUCGCCGCCGAAUAACAGGGGGUGUGGGUGAGUAGAGGGAUGGCAUGGCCAGUGGUGGGAGUAGUAGGGGGCGGUGAGGCCUCCGCCGCAUCGCAGCCGGCCACGGGAGGCAGGAGCACGAGUCACGACUGGCGCUGGUUUGGGUGGCUGGAGCAAGAAGACCAGAGGUUGAAGAAGCACUACGGCCAUUGGAUGGACAUCGUACGAUCAGUGGAGCUAGAAUCGUGCAUAUUGACUAAGUUGACAAAGCCCUCCGUCCCCGUCAACUUAGUAGGCCCACAAGUCAGCCUACCACUAUACUGGGUCCCAGCUAGCAGGGGAGUAUUCAUUUUUUGUGUGCGUAAUAAGGAGGCACUUCCUUGUGUGCGAAGAUAUAGCUGGUGGGUCCAAGCUGUCAGCGGUGGUAACGUUUUUUCCGCGAAAUACAGAGGCCCUUUCGGUGGGUCCCAGAUGUCAGGUGGAGGAAUCAUUAUUUUGCGCGUAAUAAGGAGGCAUUUCCUUGCGUGCGGCCAUGGACCCAGCUGUCAGCCUCUCCAUGUACAACCCACUUCAGAUGCAUGUCGAUCGUUAACCACGUUGACCAGGCCGCGCCGAGUGCACCAGGGCGGUGGACGACAGCGAGGCCUAGGAAGGGAACGACACGGAGGCAGGGAAGAGUCGGCAGUUGUUUCCCACGCGGAGGGGAGUACGACUGUACGAGGGUUUACUGGUUCGUCUGCCGUCGCCGGAGAAUAACAGCAGGUGUGGGUGAGUAGAGGGAUGGCUAGGCCAGCGAUGGGAGUACGGUGGGGCGGUGAGGCCUGCGCGGCAGCACAGCCGGCCGCGGGGAGGAGGGAGCAGGUAGUCCCGCCGGCGCUUGUUUGAGCGGCUGGAGCAGGAAGAGCAGAGAUUGAAGAAGCACGACGGCCGUUGGAUGGAAAUCCAACAUUCACUGCUUGUGCGUCAAUCUUUUUUUAGGAAAGCCUCAAAUCUGUGGAAAACAGCAUACAACCCAUCUGCCAUUAUUUCUAAUAAUUUACAGACCAUUUGCUAAUUCUUAAGGUUUUUUUGGAGCCCAUAUUCUUUUUGUUAGCAUUACAGCCCAUAUUGUGGCCACGGUUAAAAAAUGAUACGAAAUUUUGCAUAUUUCGGCGCGGUCCAAAGUGUUUUUAAUCCCGAAAUUUCAAGUCACAUUCAAACUGAUUUUAAAAAUAAAUGUAUAUCAAUAUAAAAUCCAACAAAUUGUCCACGCAUAAAAAUCAAUGCAAUUUAAAAUCUCGAAAUGAAAAAAAGAAAUUUGAAACUAAUUGCCGGUUUGAUGUGUUUUAAAAAUGUACAUCCCAGUUCUCAUUACUCAUAGGCCAUUUUCUCGGCCAGCCGAAUGAAGCUCUCCUCAUCUUGAAAGAUUUGCAGCCCAACAGGCCUGACAAAGCGACUUACUUGGGAAAUCACAAAAAAACUGGGCUGUGGCCGUGGACCCAGCUGUCAGCCUCUCCACGUACAGUACUCUUCCGAUGGAAGUCGUUCGUUGACCACAUUGACCACACUGCGCCGAGAGCACCAAGGCAGUGGACGACUGCGAGGCCUAGGAAGGGGACGACGCGGAGCCGGGGAAGACGCGGCAGUGGAUGCCCACGCGGAGAGGACUACGAGGGUUCACUGGUUCGGCUGCGGUGUGAGGCUGCCGUCGCCGCAGAAUAACAGGGGGUGUGGGUGAGUGGAGGGAUGUCCUGGCCAGCGGGGGAGUAGUAUGGGGCGGUGAGGCCUCCGCGGCAGCACAGCCGGCCACGGGAGGCAGGAGCAGGCGGCACGACCGGCCCUACUUUGGGCGGCUGGAGCAAGAAGACCAGAGGUUGAAGAAGCACUAUGGCCGUUGGAUGGACAUCGUACAGUCACUGGAGCUAGAAUCGUUCAUAUUGACUAAGUUGACGAAGCCCUCUGUCCCCGUCAACUUAGUAGGCCCACAAGUCAGCCACCCACUAUGGUGGGUCCCAGCUAGCAGGGGGGUUUUCUUUUUUUUUUGUGCGUCAUAAGGAGGCACUUCCUUGUGUGCGAAGAUAUAGCUGGUGGGUCGGACCUGUCAGCGGGGGGAACAUUUUUUCCGCGAAAUAUAGAAGCCCUUCCCGUGGGUCCUAGCUGUCAGGUGGAGGAAUCAUUAUUUUGCGUGUAAUAAGGAGGCAUCUCCUUGCGUGCGGCCGUGGACCCAGCUAUCAGCCUCUCCACGUACAAUCCACUUCAGAUGCAUGUAGGUCGUUGACCACGUUGACCAGGCCGCGCCGAGAGCACCAGGGCGGUGGACGACGGCGAGGCCUAGGAAGGGAACGACACGGAGGCAGGGAAGACUCGGCAGUUGUUUCCCACGCGGNNNNNNNNNNNNNNNNNNNNNNNNNNNNNNNNNNNNNNNNNNNNNNNNNNNNNNNNNNNNNNNNNNNNNNNNNNNNNNNNNNNNNNNNNNNNNNNNNNNNNNNNNNNNNNNNNNNNNNNNNNNNNNNNNNNNNNNNNNNNNNNNNNNNNNNNNNNNNNNNNNNNNNNNNNNNNNNNNNNNNNNNNNNNNNNNNNNNNNNNNNNNNNNNNNNNNNNNNNNNNNNNNNNNNNNNNNNNNNNNNNNNNNNNNNNNNNNNNNNNNNNNNNNNNNNNNNNNNNNNNNNNNNNNNNNNNNNNNNNCGACUGUACGAGGGUUUGCUGGUUCGUCUGCCGUUGCCGGAGAAUAACAGCAGGUGUGGGUGAGUAGAGGGAUGGCUAGGCUAGCUAUGGGAGUACAGUGGGGCGGUGAGGCCUGCGCGGCAGCAUAGCCGGCCGCGGGAGGAGGGAGCAGGUAGUCCCGCCGGCGCUUGUUUGAGCGGCUGGAGCAGGAAAAGCAGAGAUUGAAGAAGCACAACAGCCGUUGGAUGGACAUCCAAUAGUCACUUCUCUCGUGUACAUUAUUUCUAAUAAUGUACAGCCCAUUUGCUAAUUCUUACGAAUUUUUUUGGAGCCCAUCUUCUUUUUGUUAGCAUUACACCCCAUAUUGUGGCCACGGUUAAAAAGUAUACGAAUUUUUUGCGUAUUUCGGUGCGGUCAACUGUUUUAAUCCUGAAAUAUCGAUUCACAUUCAAACUAUUUUGAAAAAUAAUUUAUAUAAAUAUAAAAUCCAAAUAAUUGUCCACGCAUAAAAAUCAAUGGAAUUUAAAAUCUUGUAAUGAAAAAAAUUGAAACUAAUUCCCGGUUUGAUGUGUUUUAAAAAUGUGCAGCCCAUUUCUGGGCAAACCGAAUGAAACUCUCCUCGUCUUGAAAGAUUUGCAGCCCAGCAGGGCUGAUAAAGCAAGUAGGCCUCUUUUGGGUAUUUCUUAAAAAAAAUAGAAUUGGGCUAGCCAUUUCCAGCAAGAAAAAAACACAACUGGGCUCAUGAUGUGGUAAACAUAAAUAAAACCCUGGCUAGACGGGCCACAGCCCCCGCACAGCCCCAUUGUUACCCUGAUCCGUCGCUAAAACUAGUAUAAAUAACAACUGCUUGUUCCUCAAGAAAACUACGCGACCUGCUGGGUCCCUGGUGUCAGCCGCUCGUAGUGUAAUUCUCUCGUUUAUUGACUACGUUGACAAUGGUGUGAGCCCCAGAUGUCCAACCAUUAGGAGGAACCAUAUUUUUGGGCUUGUAAUAUAGAGGCACUUGCUUGCGUACUGCCAUGACGCUGGUGGGUCCCUACUGUCAUCCUCUCCACGUACAGUCAUCUCCUUGUUCCUCUCGGUUGUUGACGACGUUGAUAACGCAAGAGGGCGGCGCACCGCGCACGGCGAGCGAACCAAGGCCGCAAGGCGGAGGACGACUGCGAGGGCUCGGGCGGAAUGAACAGGAGCCGUCGAAGAUGCGUCGGUCCAGUCGCAGGCGGAGGGGAGUACGAGGGUUGACUGGUUCGGGUGCGGGUGCGUGUUGGGCUGACGUCGCUGGAGAAUAACAGGACGUGUUGGGGAAUAGAGGGAGGGACUGGCCAACGUUGCAGGGUACGUACGGUAGGGCGGCGGAGGCGCAACCAGCCAUGGGAGGCGGGAGCAGGCGGAGCCGACGGGGUGGUUUGGUUUGGGUGGCUGGAGGAAGAAGAAGACAAGAGAUAGAAGAUACACGACAGAUGUUGGAUGUCAAUCCAACGGCUGGUACGCAGAAUCGUUUGUUGACUGGCUAGUAAGUCGACACCACCUUGGAUAGGCUAUUUCCUCGCGGGUCCCAAAUGUCAGAAUCCAAAUCUGUCACGAUCAUGCAGCCCUUCCUAUGAAAAUCUACAGCCCAUUUGAUGUGCUAGUUGGAAAUAAGUUUGUGGGUGCUGGUGGGGGCUAAUCAUUUGGCUUCUGUAAUGCACAGUGAGCUCAAGCAGCCGGCGAGAGUGAUGUUAUUUCCCUUGGUUGGGAUUUGUUAGUUGUUACAAUAUUUCACUCUAAAUUAAACGACUGGCAAGCCAUUUGCCUUGCUUCAAAGAAAUAUGAUAGUCACAGCCGAGUUGAAAAGGGCAAGAACAUCUAACUCCAGCUUACAAACUGUACAAAAGCACGAGGGUUAAUUGUUCAUUAGGUUUACAAAAAAACCCAGGUCGAAAAGGGCAACAACAUCUAACUCCAGCACUGUUUUUGGCAGUCACAGUCAAAUGGAUCGGUCAGGUCCAGAGAAUGAACAUCCUGGGUCGUAAAAUUUACUGGAUUAUGACCACAAUAUGUUGUAAAUAGAUGCCCGGCACGUUCAGAAGCUCUUUUGCCCACUUGAGACUCCUUUUUUUUCUCUUCCACAUACCCAUCCGUCAAAACCAUGCUGCUGAUAAAUUUAAGCCUAAUGGACAAUAGUAACCUCGCAUUCAGCAGGAAGAAUGUGACAAAUCUAGUGUUUGCACGGUUGGCUACAUAUCGUUCUAGCGUUAUUGUCUUCAAUCAAAUCUCAUGAGAAGUGAGAAAAUCCCGAUGCUUACGAAUCCACCGAUUGGUUAUAACUUUCUUACCCCGUCCUGUUGCCUAAAUAGACAUGAAGAUUGAAAACAGUUAAGGUCUAAAAAAAGGAGUGUCAAAAGAGCAACAACUGAACGGUUAAUUCUAGUAAACUAUAUGCGGGCUUCCAAUGUGCGUGAAAUUAUCACCUUUAUAUACAACUUCUCCAGACAUGGAAAGCAUUCUAGCAAGCCAAUAAUCUUGUUCAGAUCAAAAUUAUUCAUUUGGAUAUAUAAGAUCUUGACAGAAUCCAGCACCAUUGAUAGGCCAUCCAUGGAGAAACUCUUCAUUGAGCAUAGAACAUAAUAUUAAUACAAAAUGUGUACUCCAAGAUGACAUAUAACUUAUGUGCGGAAAUUUAAAAGGCAGCUUAUGGUUACAAGUGUAGAUGAUAAUGUAAAGUACCUGAAGAAUUGUGGAGCCAAACACCAUAUUGAAAUGAGCACAGAGAUCAUGUAUUACACCCAAGGUCUCCAGUUUAGGCGCAGAGAGGACGGUUAUUUGCAACGGUGAAUCAAUGAUCAACCUUUGAAGUGAAGGGGUAUCUUGGAUGAUGAGCUGCCUUCCGUCAAAACAAAUUCCAAUUCUUACAAGGUUAAGCGACUUUAUUUGGAGACAACCGAUUCUAACUGUGAAAACAAGCACCAAGCACUCCAGGGCAGGGCAACUAGAGUGGAUGAUGCUGUUCAAUGAGGCCUCCGAUAUACGAACCCGCACAAGUGAAAGUUUCUUUAGAAAUGGGAGUCGAAGGUUUAGUACCAGAUUGUCUGGUAGGUCGCACAGCGCAAAGGUGGCGGUGUGGAGAGAGGAGGAAAACCGCGAGAUGGACAUCGGUGCUGAGGGCACAUGUAGAUGGCGUUUGGUAUCUGGUAGGUGAUUUCCAGGGGAAUAGUAGAACCCAAGCAGCUGUAGUUCUGUGAAUUCAGGGGAUUUCAGUCAGGCGUCCACCAUGCAGGGCAUGGUAUGCUUGCUCAGGUAGCAUGACGGGAUGCAGAGGCUUUGAACGGAGCCCUGGUGGGAGGAGAUGAUGGCUCUGGGGAUUUCAAAAUCACUGAAGAGAGAUAGCUGACGACAGUUGAGAUUAAGGGGCACGACGCGCCAUAGAGGGCGCCACCAAAUUGAGAGGACUUGGGUGCAGCAACAAUCCUUGGUGGGGAGAAGCGAGAUGAUCUCCCCAAGGAUGGCGUCCGGGAGAUCGCUGAUGCGGUCCACCCGAGAUUCUACGGGUUCCUGGGAUCCGGUGGGGGCGGGGUCGCCGCUUCUCCCCGUGCUGCCGGGUGUGGGAUCUACAACAGGCGUCGCCACUGGCGGGGGCCUCAUCUUCUUGGCGUUGGGGUCAGCCGACUCCAUUUUCCUCGAGGGCAUCGCGUCGCGCUCACGGAUUUGAGCAGAGUAACGAAUGACGAGCCUAGUUGUAGUGCAAGUGAAGAAGAAGGGGAGUUGGGGUUUUUCUGUAGUAGUGAGCAAGAAGGGGAGCUGGGGUUUUCUGUAGGAGUGAGGUGAGGAAUUUGGGGGUACGAGUGGAGCAAGCUGAUGUGAGGUGGGUGGGAGUAAGGAGGAAGAAGAACACCCAGGUUUUUUUGGGGGGCGGUGUGCUGGGUGUGGGUAGCGCCUCUCAUUCAGUAAAUAUAUGGACUUUUGAAUUGAUUUUACUAUUUACUAGGGUGGAUGGGCUGUUUUUUCUUGGGCCCAGAGAAACAAUUACUACCAGUAUAGUGGAGACACUCUACAACUACCCAGAAAAACAAUUACUACUAGUACAGUGGAUACAAUACCGCUUCUGGCUCCUCCUAGGUCAUCGAAAUGUCUCCCUCUACUGAAUGUCGUUAUACUUUUGUUCACCGACAUGUGGGCCAUGCAGCGCGCGGGCCCAAAUGCCAUCCACCAAAUUAGAAGGCAGUAUGCAGGCGGAGAGUCACCCCGGUCGUAGCGUGGCAAUAAUGAGCCGUCGUAUCACAAAACCCCACCUCCCCACAGUCUAAGUUUGACGGACGAAGCAACCAUCAUUUCACUCUUUGCUGAAUCCCCUUCUCCCUCACCGUCUUCAAGAAAGGCAACACUCGCAUCUGCCACUGUUCUUCUCUCCCAACGAAGGGAAGGUAAGCGGAUCCGUGAUGUUGGUAUAUUUUCGUUCAGAGAAAAAAAAGAACUUUUGCAAAGCAGUAACCGAUCCUCACUUUUUUUUUGUUUCAUUGUUAUUGCGAUUGUGUUUUCCUUUCAGUGGUCUCCUAGUAUUUGUCGGUUUCAUGAUGGACCAAGGAGAACCAGGCAAAGAUCUGCCGAUAUUGGAGCAGACGCGGGAGGCUGAUCCCCACGAGACAGAGAGCUCCAAGAAGAUGGAGGCAGCCACCNNNNNNNNNNNNNNNNNNNNNNNNNNNNNNNNNNNNNNNNNNNNNNNNNNNNNNNNNNNNNNNNNNNNNNNNNNNNNNNNNNNNNNNNNNNNNNNNNNNNNNNNNNNNNNNNNNNNNNNNNNNNNNNNNNNNNNNNNNNNNNNNNNNNNNNNNNNNNNNNNNNNNNNNNNNNNNNNNNNNNNNNNNNNNNNNNNNNNNNNNNNNNUCUUUGCCGAUCUCGAUUGUGGUUUUUCAUCUAAGUAUGUGGUGAUGACUAAUGCAAAAUUUUAUUAGCUUCGAUGCCGUGCUAUACAUAGUGGUUUAAAUAACUUGUGUUUCUUAUGCUGGAAAGUAAUUCAGAAUUUGUUUCUGUUUCAAUUAGAGCCCUGAUGUAGACAAGGAUUGUGUGGUUGUACAUGUCACUCGCUAUGAGGCGGAUGACCUGAAUAUGCGCACUGGGAAAACAGAGUUUUUAGGCUGUUGGAUCCUGGAAGCCAUUUGCGCUUAUACCAAUGAAGAGUUGUAUUCCAGCCUCACUGUUGUCAGGCGUGUUGUCCAGGGUGUACUGAAGCACAAAAAGUACAAAGCUACUCCUUCGUUUGUGAGGCAUACUAUUCUUGUCAAGCUUACGUAGGAAGAUGACGUGGCAUGCCUCCACAAACAAGUUUAUGAGUGGCAAGGCCACAAGGUUUUCUUCAUGAAGGUUCACAGGAUUGAGCUGCUGCCGGACGUCCUUGAUGAUGUUCAUGGCAAGGUCCGUCUUGUGUCCAGCCCAAAUUAGAUCGAGGCAUGAAAUACUUGCCCCAACUAGUGUUUAAUAGUAGUUUGGAUUCUGUCUAAUUAUCCGAACCUUGCCUGUUAUCGAGCCCUCUGGGGCUAGUACUCUGUUUGAAUCCGUCUAUGGGAACUGCUGCUACUUUUGUGCGCCCGUGAAUCAUCGUAAUUGUUGCCGAAACAGAUGUGUCCUCACUAGUUUUAUCAUACGAGCAGUGUGCAUUUUGAUGAAAUAGAGUACUCGUUCGAGAACUGUGCGCCGACGUAUACAUAAGUACUUGUAAACACUGUUGGUGCUACCCCACUUGUAAGCAGUUGUGCAAAACACGGCACAUUGGCUCAGCUCGCUUCAACACUAGGCUAUCGACCAGCUAACAAUCAACAAUCUGCUGUCUGACAUAUAAGCAACUAUGUAUCUUGUUACAGUGGUUCAUGCAGUGAACUGAGGCCACAAUGUAAAUUCCAAACAUUCACACGCUAGUCCAGUGUUCAUGUGGAACACUCACAUUAAACUCGGCUUCAUAAAAAACUUGAAAAGCAUAAGUUAAGCAAUUUUAUACAUCUCCAUGAUACAUAGAACAUAACAAACAUGUACUAGUUAAUAGCAAAAGACAAAGUUGUGAGAAGGUUUACAAAUCAGGAAAAAACAAGCAUGGCUUCUCUGAGCAAAGGGCCUCCCAGCAGGCUUAAAUUUCCUGGAGUUCACUCUGGUUUUUUCUUGUUGCCACCAUCCAGGGUUAGGUUCUCUCAUUCCAGAAUAACCAAUUAUAAUUGUGUUCUUAGCUGGAAUGCUGAACUGAACCAUGCAGUGUACUGACCAGCUGAAAAUCUUGUGCAUUCCACUAAAUUUAAGCAUCGCUAUUUGCAGAAAUAAGCAGACCACAAUGCCUCUUGUCCGCGCACCUGUCCCAAAAACCUCCGUGCAGCCGUGCCAGCUUGUCCUCGGUCCAUGGAUGAACUGGAGGAAAGUGCAUUCCGGACUAGGAUGCAGAUGUUUUCGCUCGUCCCUGCACUGCAAUCAGGAAGUAAAACGUAUGAAUCAUCUUCUUUUAGAUUGCGUUGGUCAUUCUACCUAGUAACUACCAAUGUAGGAAUACCUGGAAGACGGGUGGUUAGACGACAGCAACGAGGGAUAGCCAUCUCAUUUUGCGCAGUUCUACUAAACCUGAGGUGUGUGCUUUUGAUUGCACGGAUAGAAACGAUACGGAGACAGACAUCCUGAAAUGAUAUGGAGACAGACAUCCCUGUUUGUGCAAAUACGAAAUACGGUUAUUUAAACAGUGACAGAUAUUUGCAGUGGCGUAUGAUUAACAGCAACAUCUAUUGUGUUAUAAUUGGCACUAGAUUGACAGUAUGAAAGUGUCCUUAAGUAAGUAACAUCACAUCACAUCAACACUGCCACUAGAUUAACAUGCAAAACAAUAGCAUUAGUAUUACUGUCAUGAGAGUAGCACAUGGUCAGUAAAUGUGCAAUCAAAUUUGUGCAGUUCCACUGGGAUGAAGCAAUGUUAGCGGUGUGAGAUUUAAGUGUAACUACAAAAACACAAUUCAUGGGAAAUAAAGCAAGACAGAAGCACUUCAUAAAAUGGUGGUGGCAUUGCUUCAAUUUAUCGACAGCACUAGACCAUUACUUAUAGUGACAUUAGGUGGCAUUGCUUAAUGCUUCAUGUGAUUUUACAUUAACGGUAGCGAUAUGGGCGUAGGGAUAGCAGAGGCAUAAAGUGGUGAGGCAGAUGUGGUUGCCGAGAGCGGCAAACACUCAGGCAGUAUGUCUGCAUUUGUCCCAUUUUCUCCUCGGCGACAUUUUCCUAUGUGAGCACAGGAAAUCUAGACCUGCUCAUUCUCAUUUGCGUUGUCCCCCAACACCCGUCACUUUCUUUCCUUUUUCAACCAAGAGAUAGGUCCACUUCCCCCCACCCUUCGCCAUCCACCAUGCUUUCUUUGUCUUUUCAACCAAGAGACCGGUUGGGUAGCCAGUAUCUACUACUUUCCCCCGUUUCCUCUUAGAACCAAGUCCUAGAUUCAUGCUACAGCUUUCCCACUUUCUUCCCUAUUUGAACCAACUCUUAGAGUCGACUGUAUGAACUAGCUUUACCUCUAAUAAUAGUAAACGUCUAGGUGGCUUUGGAACAACGGACGGAAGUAGAAAAAGAUCCACACAAAGCCAAGUGGGGAGCUGGGGCAGUAGAGCAAGGCAGGUUUCGAAGGAAUAUAUACCUGAGGGUCGUCAGCAUGUGGCAAAGACGGCAUCGGGAGGCCGCAUCUUGGCCACAAUACCACAGGGAGGAAGAAGGGGUCGGAGGCCCUCCGGAGCCGGCGCUCUCUCGGAGAGAACGGCACGGAAGCCGAUCGGGACGCGCGGGCAGCCGUUGGUCUCCUCCCUCGCCGCCGACGACAGCGUGAAUGAUGCACCUACACCCCUGCCCGGUCGAGGUUGUCCGGCCGGGUUUGUGACCAGCCGUGAGCUGAGAGAGAGUGUGGCCACCUAUGUCUUGCUUAGAUCUGGAGAGCAUGAGAGAGUGAACGAGAGGAACCCUAGUAAAGCAAGUGCUAAGGCUCCUUCUUAUAUAUGUAGUGGAGUGAUUUUGUUGUACCAGCUUCAAAAAAAUGCGAUCCUACGUGUACCCGCGAGUGGGUGUGAGAGAACUAGUGCGUGCGUGCAUCGCUUCUCUUCGUGAGAGUACAAUAUACUAUGCCCAAAGAACGUUCGCCACAAGAGUAAUAGUAUAAGUGUGUGUCGUGUGAGCUAAAAUAAAAUGUGCGCGACGUCUUUUAUUUUUUAGAAGUUCUGAGGGUAGGGUGUGAAGAGCACAUAUGUGUGUGACGUCUACCUGCAGAUAGACGGUGGGUGCGAGAGGACUCGAGAGGGUGCGUUUGCGUGAGAGAGAGGGGGGCACGUAUCAAUGCAAUGCAUGUGUCCGUAAAUCAUUAUCCGACAAACGUUCGCCACAAGCCUUUUCCUGACGAACACCGUAAGAACCGUUAGAUCGGCAUCCGACAGUGUCAGUUUUGCCAUGUCAUUUAACAGAACAGCCACUCCUCCUACAUACAAAUCUUCCACGUGAGUGUUAGCAACUGACGUAUGCUCCCUCCGUUCCAAAAUGCAGUGCAUAUAACUUUAUUGAAAUUCGAACCUCGCAAACUUUUACCGAGUUUUCGUGUACCAAAUUGCACAUGUAGAAUACCCUGUAUAUAUCAUUUCAUUCAUCUUCGAGAGGUAACUAUAAAGAUGGGGGAGGAGUCUAUAAAGAAAGACCAUCGUAUCACCUGCAGCAAUUUCAACCAUCCUUUGGUGUGGAGGAAUAUCAUAGAAACUCUAUAUGAUAUGAUUUUUAUAGGACUUUUUCCUUUAGAGCCAAUUGGUUCAUAGGAAUAGAUUCAUAUACUCCACAUUUCAAAGGAAAUAAACAUGAUAUCAUUUCUAUAGCUUUAGAGCCACUUGGUUCAUAUGAAUGGAUUCCUAUACUCCCAUAAUUUCAAAGGAAAAUAAACAUUAGCGUAUUCAAUAGAAAAGUUCCUAUGAUAUGAACCAAAUUACAUCUCUUUUCUAAUCCCUCCUCAUAGGAAUUGAGAUACAUGUCAUCUCUAGAUUCAAUAGAAAAGUUCCUAUGAUGUCAACCAAAUGACAUCUCUUUUCCAUCCCUACUCAUAGGAAUUGAGAUACUCCAUGUCAUCUCUUUCCCUACAACUUCCAUGUAUACAUCUUAUAUUCCUAAAUAGCUAGUACAACCCACUAGUAGCUUUUUUCUAAGACAUGCAACUAUGGCACAAGAACUAUAUAGUGUGCGAAUAACUUGAAAGAUGGUCGCUGGAUGAAGCUAAUCCGAUAGUGCAGAGAUGGCAAAUCCGAGCACUAUUGGCCGUUGGAUAUCAUCAAUAUUCCACCAGAUCUGCCACAUGUACAAUUUAGAAGACUCCAUGGUUGAACUUAAGCAUAAUGCACAAACCUCAAAACACAUGCACUUCUCCUUUGUUCUAGAAUCUUCCGUAUCAUAAUUGAUUUUUUUCUAAAUGAAAUGCCAUUAUUUGUUUUUUACUUUAUGCUUUACAAUGCACAACCCCAUGAAUCGUAACAUUUUUAUAAAACUAAUUGAUUUUGAAUGAGAUGAACUAUAAGAACUAAACGAACAUCUACAUCAUGCAUAUAUGACUCAAAGCUUUACAUGCUAUAGUGUGUAUUUAUUCAUAAUUUGGUUUCGAAAUCUCAUGCGUUCAAUGCAUGUGUACCUUAUUAGUUUUGAGUAGAGUAGCAAAUUUCACGCGGCCCCGGGUAUAUCAAAAUGCAGGGCCCAUGCACCAUUGCCUUUCGGUCGAACCUACGUCCACAAUUUUUUGUACGUACUAUAUCUCCACUGGUCCCCGAACCCAAAAUACUGCCUCGUUCCCCUAAAACCAAGCAGCCCACACAUAUUUAAGGCGUCGACUCAAACUCAAUCCCUCUCCCGUUUACUACAACGUGGCCCCGCACGCCCUAGUAGUACUCCUACAAACCCUACCGCCGCAUGCAUCAUCGGUUUGCUUCAAGAGGACGAGGGAGAAGCCGAUUUGUAGUGGAGGCGCUUUAAAAAAUGAUCUGUAGUGGAGACCCCUACCCUAGGGUGCCCUAGGUAGCUGCCGCACGCAUCAUUGGUUUUCUCUUUUCUUUAUGCUCUUGCGCCCUAGAGUGAAAUGAUGGUUGCUUCGUCCGUCCAGCUUAAUGCGGGAAAGGUGGGGCUUUGUGAUUUGACCCCUCAUCGCUCAUUUUCUACUACUGCGGCACUAUGACCGGGGUGCCUCCAAUUCCAACCGCUGCUCCGAACUGUAAUUUGGUGCAUCGCAUGUGGAACAAGACGGUGGAUGAGCCACAUGUCGGCCAAAGGGGUCCUGUUAAGUGUGUCGCCAUUUCGUGUGCGGACUAACCCUGCUUGAGUCGCUACGCCAACAUGACAGGUGCAGCCUACCACUUGGUUUUGCUCCUUGGUGAAUCCCGACUAUUAUGAUCUAAAAAGAUACGUACUGAACUACCCUCUCUGUCUUGUUUUUUAGACGUCUCGGUUUAUAGGGCGUGCACGUAGUUCUAGGUCAUCCAUUUGACUAACUGAAUCUGAGUUACUAUGUCACAAAAAGUAUAUCAUUGGAUUAUUAAGAGGAUGUAGUUUCUAAACAUAUACUGUUCAUCACAUAUAUAGCCAGUUAAAUUCUCAACCUAGAAUGACGUGCAUGCCAUGUAAACCAAUACGGAGGAAGUAUAGUAGUAAAAAUGAGGUGAUUUUACCGAGCGAUCGGCGGGGGAGCAUGGCCUGUCAUGCGGUCCCACGUGUCAUGAUGUACCAAGGCGAUGCGCGUGUCCCUCUUGAGGCAGAAGCAAUACGACAUGGUUUGAGAUGAUGGCGAACCGAAGUGUGAAAUAAUGGUUGCUUCGUCCGUCUGGGAAGGUGCGGCAUUGUGAUUUGACAUCUCAUUGCUCAUUACUACUACUACUGGGGCGGUACGACUGGGGUGCAUCCCCCCUGCUGUUUUGCACUGUUAUUUGGUGCUUGACACGUCGACCCGGUUGCUAUAUGUCCCACAUGUCGGCGACAGGAAGUACAGAAUUCAUGAAAGCGAGCGUCGACGGAGGAGUACAAGACACGGCUUGGGUUUUUGCUGCUUCGCGUGAUCCAUCGAUACAAACUCGGACUAAAAAAAGGCGAGGGCGGGUCUUUUCCCGCGUGACAGGCAGGGGAGUUUGGCAUAGUCUGUUCGAGGCAAGGAGGGAGGAAGGGAAACAAGCAAAUAAAGGUUAAGCGACUUAUUUUUGGGAAAAUCUAAUUUUACGGAGUACGUACCCACUAGGGUUUAUAGGGCUCAUCUACAAAACAUUCGUUUUUCCAUUUUAUAAGUCUCAAUUCUACUACUAGUAGUAGUACCAUCACAUGUUGGAUUUCGAGGUGCGUUAGAUCACCCAAUGCAAGCAGUGUCAAGAGAAAACUCACCAAUGCAUGUAGAAGUUCAUGGAAAUUUAGUGGUCAUUCAUGCAUUCGUUCUAAUUAAUGCCUCGGUAAACAUUACUUCUUGAGAAAAACGAGCGUACUAAUUACUUGUGCAAACUAGGAGUACGAAAUUAAUUCGACCACUCACCGUCUACCUUGGUUGGAGAGAUUUUGAAAUUGAGCCAUAAAUUCAAAAGGAGGGAGUAGUAACUUUUGUCUCGAUUACUAUUUGUGGCCUUGUAUAGAUGCAAAAUGUAUUUUUUUAUAGUGGCCUUGUAUAAGUAAAUGGAGGGAGUACUAAAGGACAUAUAUAUUCCAAACAAUAUGAUAAUCUAUCUAACCAAGGUAGUAGGGACGAGGAGUAAACAGAGGGAGUACUAGUAAAAUUUUCUCCUCAUCCUGCGAGCCACCGCGUGCGUGGGCGAGGAAGCGGGCGUAAGGCGUAGUAAGCAAGCUUCACCUCAUCUGGGCGGGGGAGACGGCGUACUAAGCAAGCUUCUCCUUGUUCUGUGAGUUGAUGAGACACAUCAAAAGUACUCCAGUGUAUAGAGCCUUGCCUCUAAGGUAGGCCCCACAUGGUUUGCCUCUUUUUUAACAUAACGCGUCAAGUCGCAAUUUGUUUGUUCACUCGUGGUAGACGAUCCUCCCUCCAUCUAGUGGACAACCAGUACACGUGUCAAGUUACCACGUGGGCUGCCUUUUCGUACAGAAAUGAGCUCCACCGUGUACCCGCGCGGGUGUGGUUGGGAAACAGACGAGAGUACGUGCGCCGUGCGUGCACCUCUUCUCUUCGUGCACGUCCCCCACCUACGUGAGACGCGGUACGAGGCGGCGGCGUGGACGGCAGCAACGAUGCCCGUGCGCCGCUCCUUGUCGAGCUGGCCUGGAGCGGCGAGUUGCUGAACUGCGCGCCGGCUUGGGGCGGCAACUGGCUCCGUCGGGCGAGGGGAGGGAGGUGGAUCAGCGAGCUGCAUAGCUCGUAUCCGGCGGGCUCGGCGGGCCACCCAGCCGGCUUGGAUGCGGAAUAACUACUCUUCAUAAGCCAUUGUAAGAGUGGGAAAAAUGGUGAAGGAGGAGAUAGGGGAGCGGCGGAGGUGUGUGAUUCUUGGCCGGCGUUUAGCCUCGUUUAAAUAGGAGAUUAAAUAGACGGCGGACGGGAGGAGCUCAGCCGGCGUUGCGUUUAAUGCCGGCCCGGUCAUGAACGGACGUGUGUCCAUAGUGGGUUUCUCGGCUUCCACACGGGUGGGUUUCAUGGAGGUGUUUGAAUGCGGCAAGGAGGCGUGUUCAGCCGGGCAUGCAGCGAGGCGCCCUCGACUCUGACGUAGGACAGCACGCCGUUCUUCCACUGACGUGUGGGCUCUUUGGGUACAUGGCUUGCAUGUCAGUGACCCAACGCAGGCAACGCACACCAGAGGAACCUUUGGUGGGCCAGGGCGGUCAGAAGCGGGCAUUUCAUAAACCGAUGAUUGUUCAUUGAGUGUGACGUCAUCCUUUUCAUGUAGAUAAGCCUACUAUAUUGAUAGCCCAUUUGAUACGUUGUGAUUCAUAAAGACCGCUACAAACAUCAAUGUUCUGCUUAUCAUAGAUAAGAUUGAUUAAUACCCGUAACAAUCCAUGUCCUUAACAAAGGGUGCAUGCACGUAUAGGUUGAGCAUGUGUCUUGCGUCGUGUGCUGUGUGCAUGCAGGCGUGCGAGUGAUGUGUGCGUGCAAGGGUACGUUUCAGUGUUGCAUGCAUGUGCGCGUACGUGCAUGUGUACGCAUCAGUGUUGCACGCCUGCAUGCGUGCGUGUGUUCGUUAUGUGUACGUGUCAGUGUUGCACGCCUGCAUGCGUGCGUGCAUGUGUACGUGCGGGGUGAGGCUACACGUCAGUCGACUGACUUUUUCAUCUGGUCAUUAGAUUUUCCAGCCGUUGGAUACGAAAUCAAGGGCUUGCAGUUUAUCAUCAAACUCCACCCCCCUGAGCCGCCAGCCACNNNNNNNNNNNNNNNNNNNNNNNNNNNNNNNNNNNNNNNNNNNNNNNNNNNNNNNNNNNNNNNNNNNNNNNNNNNNNNNNNNNNNNNNNNNNNNNNNNNNNNNNNNNNNNNNNNNNNNNNNNNNNNNNNNNNNNNNNNNNNNNNNNNNNNNNNNNNNNNNNNNNNNNNNNNNNNNNNNNNNNNNNNNNNNNNNNNNNNNNNNNNNNNNNNNNNNNNNNNNNNNNNNNNNNNNNNNNNNNNNNNNNNNNNNNNNNNNNNNNNNNNNNNNNNNNNNNNNNNNNNNNNNNNNNNNNNNNNNNNNNNNNNNNNNNNNNNNNNNNNNNNNNNNNNNNNNNNNNNNNNNNNNNNNNNNNNNNNNNNNNNNNNNNNNNNNNNNNNNNNNNNNNNNNNNNNNNNNNNNNNNNNNNNNNNNNNNNNNNNNNNNNNNNNNNNNNNNCCCCGCGCCGAGCUUUUUCUCCGGCGAUCUCCACCCUACCGCCCAAUCAACGCGCCCCCCACCGCCGGCGAUUGCCAACCAGAGGUCUCACGACUUCGAGUACCCACCGACCACUAAUUUAUUACCAUUUCUGUCCUUCAUAUACGCGCUGACGGGUGGGCCCUAUGGUAAUGUGCGCUGCUGAAUGUGGACCGUUUGACUGGUCAAUUGAUCAUGUCAUCAACAAAUUACGGAGCUGUAUGGUGAGCCAGUGACCAUAUGAUCACCCUAAAAUGUACUCCGUAUUUUAUUAACACAGUACAGACUCAAACUACCAUUUCUUUCUUUCAUAUACGGGCUGACAGGUGGGCCCCACGGUUACACGACCCGAUGGUGCAACACUAGUUGCGCCACGUGGAACGUUUGACUGGUCAAUUGAUUGUGUCAUCAACAAAAUAUGGAGUUGUACAGGUGAGCCAGUGACCGUAUAAUCAUGACAUGUAUUUUGUUAACACAGUACAGACGCAAGGGCUCAUAUAUACGCGCAAGCACUCACCGCUAUAAGCGCACACACGCAGACCCUACCCCUAUGAGCACCUUCGAGAGAGUGGGCCAGCAUAUGAUCUUGAGAUUUUACGAAGUCACCAUAGGUGCCUCGUAGUCGAAUGGAACAUCUCCUCCCACUGAACGCACAUCACCAGAAAAUACUGAAAUUAACCCAGGAUAAAUGUGAGCACCUGGACUUUAACCCUGGUGGGCUCGAGAAACCACUGUCCUCCUAACCAUCCAACCACAUGUUGGUUAGCACGACAAAAUCUAUGUGGUGACCAUGAUGAGCUUAUUCUGAAGUCCAGUGACCAUAUCGUGCUUUCGCUUCAAAUACAAUGACCGUAAGUGUCGUCAACAAAAUACGGAGCACGCAUAAAAUGGAAAGUCCGUCAGUGUCAUCAAGAAAAUACGGAGACGUAUCGUGAGCUAGAUAUCGUAUGAUCACCACGAGAAUGUAUACGGUGACCAUAAUGAGCAUAUUCUGAACUCCAGUGACCGUAUAGUGCUUUAGCUUGAAAUACAGUGACCGUCAUGCAUGAAUGUGUCGUGGGCAUGCAUACUUUUAGAGGGCCGAGAGAUAGUUUGUGUGCGUACGUGAAAGUGGUGUAGAAAGAGGGGAUGUCCGGUGGAGACAAGGAGAGAUAUGCCCUUCGCUUCUCUUUCCCGUGACUAACAUUUUAGGAGAAUAUAUAAACAUUCACAAUGCAGAACAAAUAUUUUUGGAUGCACCAUGCAAUUAACUUUCAUGUAUAACAUUGUACUAUUGUAUAUGCUUAUUUUCUUAGUGGCCGAUUGCGUGUGUGGUGUGGUGGGCACAUCAUUUCUAGUAGUGGUCAACAUGAGGACUCAUGGGUCGGUUCCAUCCUGCGCCACAUAGGUUGGAUCAAGACGCGUUAUACGAAGACCCAUGUGGAGGACUCGGCGUACAACACGAAGCUAGCUACCAGAGUCGCGGAUGACUCUAUCCCCACUGGUGAUAAGCCGACUAUAUAUGAUUUGUAACCCUAGGCCCCCAGUAUGUUAUAGAAGCUUGGGGGCUAGUUCGUCGAUAGUAUACACACACGCACAAUGCCUGGUAUUCAUGUGUACUUUGUACACACCCCUAUCACUAAUAUACAGUACCAGGAGUAGGCUUUUUCCUCAACUGCAAGGGUCCUAACUAGGGUAAAACUUUGCCUCGUAUUACCAUCCAGCCUAACAGUCAGGGAUAUCCUACCGAAUGAUAUGAUGGAAUCAUAUCUGCCAACUACUAAGAGAGAGGUGUGUCUGGGGGGGCAAUGUGUGCGAGAGAGGCCUAAAGAUAAUGUGCAUGCGGGAGACACGUAGGCACAUAUAUGUGCAUAUAGAGGGCUAGUAGAGACCGUGCGUGUGUAUAUAUGCAUGUGAGAGAAAUAGUGUUUUCCAACUGAGAUUAGUGAAAAGAGUGGUACAUAGUAGUCAGAAAGAGAGAGAGAGAGAGAGAGAGAGAGAGAGAGAGAGAGAGAGAUACAGAGAGAGCAUGUGCGUGAGACUCCCCGACACCCCGAGAGAGAUUGUGAGCAUGUGUGAAAGAGAAAUGCCGAUGCAUAUAAAGUGUGUGCACUUAUGCGGUAGAUAGAGAGAUAUAUAGCGCGUUUGUGAGAACGGGCCGAGGCAUAGUGCAUCUACGUGUAAAAGGCGGUUCUACGCAUUAAAUUAAAAUAUAAAUGGCAUUAUUAUUUUUGGAUGAGAUCAUGAAUUUUGCAAAUUGCGUAUGGACGAAAAUCGGUCUAUCCGACACCCAUACUCUAUUGAAUUCUAGCAUGUGCAUGUGUUUAUUUCAUAUUAUCGAUCCAUAGAGUGAGAGCGGUUUGAAAUACAGGCAAUGGAUGCUUUUGCAAUUCAUAUAUAAACAUUAAUUAGUGCACUCCAUGUUGUUAGUGUGAAGCACUUUAUACAUUUGUCACUUGCAUGGAUACAUUCCAAAUUGCUAGCUACGAAAUAGAAUACAUGUCGAAUUCAACAUAAAGGGGGUUUCGAAGAUUCGAAUUCAUAGGAAGUGCAUUCAUCUAUUUGAACCCGAGAUAAUGGCAUUUGUAAAUCAGAUGUAAAAGGGGGCAUCAAUCUUUGUUGUGCGUUUGAACAUGCUAUAUAUAUUCAUACGCAUGUCUAACGUUUUUUUGCAACCAAGGAGAUUAUAUCUGGAACCAUGCAUGAACUGAGGUAAGUUGCAUAUUUUUUAAUAUAUACUCGUGUAUAAUGUACAUUCAAAUGUACCACCUCCAUUCCAAAAUAAUCGUAGCUUUAGGAUUUUCAAGAGUAAAGAUUUGUGAAGUUUGACAAAUCCUGAAUGUUCAAUUCAAGAGAACCGAAAACGUUAAUGCUUCUGCUCCCAAAUAUUGAACGAAGCGCCAAAUAGGCCUCUGGUCACCCGAAACCGCGCAAGACUAAUGUUUGGUGGUAGGAAAUUACUGUCCUGACUCUGGCCCGUGUAGCCUAUCGGCCCGAUGUCCAAAGGUCUAAACCGGGGUAGGUUUGUAACUUCACCAAGACGCCAGUCUCAACCGCCUCCGAGAAGCAUUCAUACACCGUGGGCGCCUAAACACCCAUGCGCUCAGCCAAAAUCUAUCCCGCCCACAUUUGGGACACCUGAGAUUACUGUCCUACCCCCAACCCGCAAUAUGUUCGAAAUUUUAGAUGGGGGCAAAGUUUGUAACUUUCCCCAAAUUUCAGACAAGCGCGUCCCAAACCGAAACAUUGUUCCCCCUUAGUUCCCCGCCUCCCUCCGUUUCCCCAUUCAUACUCCGUGUGCGCCAAAACGCCCUCUGCACCAGCUGCAAAACCCUAGCCUCCUCCGUCCUCCACCCCAUAGCGCCCAAUCCACCGCUGCCCUCCUCCAUCACGCCGGAGCCGGUACCCCGACGUCGUUGUCCAACGCAACCGCAACCGCAACGCCCUCAAGGACUUAGCACCUGAAGCCGAUGUAGAGCUGCCUCCACGAUGCCGACGCCGACGUGCGCCGUACUAGAACUACUCCGACCACGCCGUCCUGCGCCUCACUGCUGCCGCUCCACUAUCGCAACCGUCCACCGCACCGGAGCUGUUCCCACUACGCCGUCGUUCGCCGCCUCGGAUCUGCUUUCCCGCCGCCGAUAGACGGCCACCGCACCACACUCAACAACUUGGCCAUGGGUUCGUCCAAGGCUGCACCGUCCUCCACAACUUCUCAUUUCCAGCGAACCACAAGAAGAUCAUUGGAAAAACAGAAGGAGGACACAGCACUGCCAGCAGAAAGAGGUACUCCUCUUCCCUUAUUCGUGCAAACCUUACGUCUCUGCUCACACCGUAUUCAUCCCACGAAAGAAACUAGUUGAGCGCUUCUUACUGCAUCUUCUUCGUGAUACUAAAUGCACAAGGUUUCCUCCCUUUACUAUUUCACCUUUGCUAGAGGUCAGUAGCCCGCCUGGAUUUCAAUUCAGGGUCAGUCGAACCGCAAUUAAAAGAAGCAGCACCCGCUUAGGCACGCGGAGCACCUAGUCCGCCUGUUCGCCGGGGAAGCGGCGCAUCAGUGUCUAUCAUAGGGGUGUGGGGCGCAUGAGCUGCUUGCGCCCAAUCUGGAGGUCGGCGGGGCUUGAAUGGAUUGUCGGGGGGCGGUGUAGAUGAUGAGCACAUCUCCCCUACUCCACCAUCGCAGGUGCUUGCUCUAACUUGGCACUAUUAUAUGUGGUUGCAUGUUGCGUAUGAUGUCUAGCUUGUAUUGCUUCUAACUUUGUUGAAUUGCAUCUGCUUACUUUACACAUAAUGCCUGUGAAUAUGACACGUGUUCCUGUUUCUAGAACAUACGUGUACAUGAUGAGCACAUCUCCCCUACUCCCCCAUCACGGGUGCUUGCUCUAACUUGGAACUGUUAUAUGUGGUUGCGCUUUCCGUAUGAUGUCUAGUUUGUAUUGCUUCUGAUUAUGUUGAAUUGCAUCUGCGUAGCUUACAACUUAUACCUGCAACAAUCACUUACCCAUAAGACACAUUUAACUUGAGACUGUGAUGUAGGUUGCAUCUUGCAUUGUCUUCUAGCUUGUACUGCUUCUAAUUUCUUGAAAUGGCACUUACGGCGAGACACUUUUUACCUGAUCGAGUGAUAUUGGUUGCAUGUUCAUAUGGUGCCUAGCUUUCAUUUCUUCUAAUUUUGUUGAAAUGCCUUCCGCUUACUGUUUUUUCAUACAUAUUCCAUCCUCCUAUCGUACGUGUGAAUAUGAAACGCUGUCUUUUUUUGUAUAUAUUCCAUCCUGCUAUCCUGCGCUUGCCUUACAUCAAAGUAAUGUUCGUCUGUAUCAUGCAUCAACCAGUUAUGCAGAUCUAAUUUUAUUCAUCUUCUUGUGGUUUUGACUUCAUAAGUGUAAGGGCAUAUUUAUCCCUAAGAUGUUUUGGUGAUUGAUGACAAUGCUUUUGCGGACUAAUCGUGUGCGUUGAGUGUUUUUCAGAGAUUCAUUCUUUUGGGCACGAGACGAUAUCCUCCCCUCGGAGCUUAAAGCGAAGAGGUUGUAGUCCUUUCGGAUUAGUUUGGUGGACUAGUUUCAUAGGGAUCACCGUACUAUCAAGAGGGGGUCCGUUUUGGAAAGGCUAGGGCGGAAUCAUCACGUACACUUCCUUUACCCCUCCCUCCGAGCCUUUCCGUUUCGAUGAUGGGCUUGGUUCUCCUUUCUUUGUGCCCUCUCUGGUCCCAGCGGUAGUACCGCGGGCCAGAGCGGUAGUACCGCUUGGGUGGUACAAGCGGUAGUACCGCUCCGGAGCGGUAGUACCGCCCAGAGCAGUAGUACCGCUAGUAGCUCCGUGCGUGUGCUAUCUCUGGUCCCAGCGGUAGUACCGCGGGACAGAGCGGUAGUACCGCUUGGGUGCCACAAGCGGUAGUACCGCUCUGGGCGCGGUAGUACCGCUCCAGAGCAGUAGUACUGCUGGUGGCCCCAAGCCGUAGUACCGCUCUGGUCCCGUGCUAGUACCGCCUCGAUUCGGGGGCUCCUUUUUCGUGUCGGGUUUUACGGUACUGGCCGCGGCUGUGGGGGACCGUAGUACCGCUCCUGUGCGGUAGUACCGCCCUCCCUCCGUGGUAGUACCGCUGUGGACCAAGCGGUAGUACCGUGCUCUUGGGCGGUAGUACCGCUUAUUGUUGCAAGCGGUAGUACCGCUGGCACAGCGGUACUACCGCUCUCUUCGGGGCAGAGUGGGGGUAACGGUUGGUUUGUUCCCCCCACUAUAUAAAGGGGUCUUCUUCCCCAAAGUUGACUCACCUCUUCCCCCAAAAGCUCCAUUGUUGCUCCAAGCUCCAUUUUCGCCCGAUCUCUCUCCCUAGCCAAUCAAACUUGUUGAUUUGCUCGGGAUUGGUUGAGAAGGCCACGAUCUACACUUCCACCAAGAGAAAUUUGAUUCCCCCCACUUAUCCCUAGCGGAUCUUGUUACUCUUGGGUGUUUGAGCACCCUAGACGGUUGAGGUCACCGAGAAGCCAUAGUCCAUUGUGGUGAAGCUUGGUGGUGUCGUUGGGAGCCUCCAAUUGAGUUGUGGAGAUUGCCCCAACCUUGUUUGUAAAGGUUCGGUCGCCGCCUUCAAGGGCACCAAUAGCGGAAUCACGGCAUCUCGCAUUGUGUGAGGGCGUGAGGAGAAUACGGUGGCCCUAGUGGCUUCUUGGGGAGCAUUGUGCCUCCACACCGCUCCAACGGAGACGUACUUCCCUUCAAAAGGAAGGAACUUCGGUAACACAUCCUCGUCUCCACCGGCUCCACUCUUGGUUAUCUUGUUCCUUUACUUUCGCUAGUUUACUUAUGUUAUUUCUCUUACUAGCUUGCGUGCUUGUUAUCGUUGCAUCAUAUAGGUUGCUCACUUAGUUGCAUAUCUAGACAACCUAUUUUGAUGCAAAGUUUAAUUUGGUAAAGAAAAGUUAAAAAAUUGUUAGUUGCCUAUUCACCCCCCCUCUAGUCAACUAUAUCGAUCCUUUCAAUUGGUAUCAGAGCCUCGUCUCUUUAUUAAGGACUUUACCGUCCAAAGAGUAUGGUUGACGUCGUAGACGGUGCGGAGGAGCACUCCGGUGAAAAUCCUGUCUCGUCUACGGGAGAUGGGGGAACCGCGGUCUCUCGUGAGGAAUUCAAUGUGGCGUUGGACACAUUGAAAACCUCCAUGACGACCAAGGUCGAAAGCAUGUUGAAUAAAUUCUUAGAAGGGCUUAAACUUACAACCGCACCGUUGAAAGUGGGUGAUCCCGCUAACAAGGUGACGGAUGCUACCUCCGACAAGGGGGAAGCUUCGAGCGAGAAGGCUCCUUGUUCUAGUGAUAAAAAUGGGAUCGGCAUCUUUGCCCAUGUGGAACCUCCACCCGUCUAUGGUGGACCGCUUCCUUCCACUCAUUUGAAUCAUGCCGGCCCGGCCCCUAAGAUUGAGAAGAAUGUAGAUUUUGAUUCUUGGGUCUAUCGUUUUAAGCGUCAUUUAAAUCAUGUGAACACUAACCUUUGGAGAAUCAUUGAAGAAGGCUUUUCUCCGCAUGACCGAAGCAACUUCACUCCUAGAGAAGUUGUGGAUCAUCAAUUCAAUGAGAAUGCUCUCUUCAUCAUCCAAGAAGCAUUCCCGCCCGAAGAUCUUCCUCAUCUCCGGCCUUACACCGUGGCCAAAGAUGCUUGGCUCCAAGUUGUUUCCCUCUAUCGGGGAAGCGCAAGCAUUCAACGCUCCAACUAUGAAGUGGUGCAAGAUGAAGCCGACGAGUUUGCAAUGAAAGAAGAUGAAGAACCUCGUGAGCUUUUUCGGAGAGUGACCAAACUUGCGGUCUCUCUCCGAGAUCAUGGAAGUAAGGACACGGAUGACAAUUGGAUCAAGCGCAAAUUCCUCAAGGCAAUGAUGCCCUACCACAAAGCCAUGUCCUCUGUAAUUCGUCAAAGGCCGGACUUCCACACUUUGUCAUCAAGUGAAGUGUUGGAUGAGUUUGUUGCUAUGAGCAUCUUGGACAAGACCGUCGACAAUGCGGUUCUUCGCUCUCAAAGAGUAAAGAAGCCCAACCUUGCUCUAAAGGCCAAGGCUAGUAUGGAGGAAGAGGAUGAAGAGGAAGAAGAGGAGGGCAACCUCGAAGAUACGAAGUAUGCCUAUCAUGAACACAUGGCUCUUGCGUCAAGGCAAUUUUGGAGCAAGAAGAACACGAGGCCAAACUUCAACAAAAGCAACUCAAGUGGCGCAAAGGGCAAGCAACGGAUGAGGACUUGCUUCAAUUGUGGCAAUGUGAGCCACUUUGUUGCGGAAUGCCCUUACGAGAAGAGGGAAGACAAUGGUGGCAAGCUCAUUAGAAAAGACAAGGCCAAGUCGUUCCCCAACAAGAGCAACUUCACCAAGAAGACUCCCUUCAAGGCGUUGGUGGUUCAAGAAGAGUACAAUGAGGAUGAUGAUGAUGAUGAAGAUAGUGAGUCGGUUGCCAUGGCCUCCGUUGCCGUUGCCAAGACUCCACGGGUGUCUCUCUUCGACUCACCCAAUGAGAACAUCACCGCCAAGUGCCUCAUGGCUAAAGCCACCAAUAAGGUAACCUCCAACAUCAAAACUACCAUCAUUAAUCAUCCUUCUUCGACGGAUAGUAUUGAUGAACAUGAGGGAACAAAUGUGGAGGAAAAUGAGUUUGAGAUCUUUAUGAGUAAACUCAAGGGAAAAUCCAAGAAGCACUUCGUUGCUCUCUUGGAACAACUUGGUGAAGCCAAUGACAUGAUCGAGGCUCACGAAGAUACCAUCUCUAAGAUGGAGGGGCAUAGUCGUGACUAUGCCGAUGAGAUUUCGGAUCUUUCCAAUGCUCUUGACGAAGAGCGUGGUCUUCGUUUGGCUCUUGAGGAGUCAUACAACGAUGAUCAUGCUAAGUUAAAGAAGGAUCUUGAUCAUGCUCUUGUUGUGUCUCGUGUGCUAAACUCCGAAAAGGCAAAACUUGGGGUUGAUCUUGCUAGACUCAAAGAGGAGUUUGGCAUUCUCGACAAGGCUCACAAAGUCUUGAAGGGUGUUCAUGCUAGCCUCAAGGAGUCUCAUGAUCAACUCCAAGUGAAGCUAAAAAAGGAAAAAGCCACCUUUCCUCAUAUGGUGUUAAUUGAUAAUGCAAAUGCUACUAACCCGUGUUGUGAGCAUGUGCAUCUUGUUGAGGAGAAUGCUAAGCUAAAGGAGCAACUUGAGAAAGGCCUUAUGUCAUGCAUACAAGGUGAGAAGAACCUCAACGACCUCUUGAGCAAUCAAAAGGAAGUUGUGGCCAAGGAGGGGAUUGGGUUCGCACCCAAUCCCAAGAACAAGAAGAAGAAUGACAAGACCAAGCGACCUCCUCCUCUCAAGCAAACUUUUGUGAAGGAGGGAGAGGGUGCUUCCAAGGAGAAGAAGAACAAUGCGAAGGGUGGAGGUGUCAAGAAGAGCAAUGCCACUCCUUCCAACAAAACCGGCGACUUUAAUCCUUCUUAUGUGUUAUGCCGUGCUAGUGAUGGGCAUGUUUAUGCCAAAUUCGUUGGUUCUCCUCAUGAGUACAUUGAAUGGUCUGUUUGGGUUCCUAAGACCCUUGUUGCUAACAUCAAAGGACCCAUUACAAAAUGGGUACCUAAAACCAAGCAUUGAUCUCUUGUAGGUGUUUGCUUCCGGUGGGGGAUCAUGGUUGCUCGAUAGUGGAGCUACAAAUCAUAUGACCGGAAGCAAGGACUUGGUGGUGGACGUGCACAAGAAACCAUCUAUGCCCACCAAUGUCGAGUGGGGUGAUGCCUCGUCUUCUAAGGUACUGGGACUCGGCAAAGUUGCCAUUUCUCAUGAUCUCACGAUCGAGAAGGUCAUGCUAGUUGAGUCCCUUGCAUACAAUUUACUUUCCGUUCAUCAACUUGCUAUCAUGGGAUUUGCCACCUUCUUUGAUAUUGAUACCGUGGCCCUCUUGUGGAGCAAGACUCUUAAAGUAGCCUUUGUUGGGCAUGUCGAGAACGGUCUCUAUGUGAUUAACUUUUCGGAGCAACCCACUAAGACCGCGACAUGCCUAAUGGCUAAAGUUGACAUGGGGUGGCUGUGGCAUCGCCGUUUAGCCCAUGUCAAUAUGAGAUCUUUGCAAAGUCUUCUCAAGGGGGACCAUGUCCGUGGACUAACGAACGUUAGUUUUGCCAAAGAUCGUGCUUGCAGUGCUUGUAUCGAAGGAAAGCUUCAUGAGAAGGCUCACUCUCCCACGACUCUUAUUUACUCGAAGAGGCCGUUGGAGCUCCUUCAUUUGGAUCUCUUUGGGCCUCCAUCCUUUGAUAGUCUUGGGGGUAGAAAGUACUGCUUGGUAAUUGUGGAUGACUAUUCUAGAUACACGUGGGUGUAUUUCUUCAAGAGGAAGAGUGAGACCCAACAAACAGUCAUUGACUUUGCAAAUGAAGCCCAACAUCAACACAAUACAAAGAUCUUGACAAUAAGAAGUGACAACAGCACCGAGUUCAAGAACUACACCUUGGAUGAGUUUCUCAGUGAUGAGGGGAUCAAGCAUCAAUAUUCCGCACCUUACAACCCUCAACAAAAUGGUGUUGCGGAGAGGAAGAAUCGGACGUUGAUGGAUGCGGCAAGGACCAUGAUGGCGGAGUUCAAGUCUCCAUACAACUUUUGGGCCGAAGCCAUCAACACCGCGUGUCAUGCUUCAAAUCGGCUCUAUCUUCGCAAAGGCUUGAAAAAGACUCCAUAUGAGAUCCUCACCGGUAACAAGCCCAACCUCAAGUACUUUCGGGUGUUCGAGUGUAAGUGUUUCAUUCUCAAGAAAGGUGUUCGUUUGUCUAAAUUUGAGACUAGAGCUCAUGAGGGCAUAUUUGUUGGUUAUGCUACAAACUCCCAUGCUUACCGUGUUCUCAAUAUGUCCACGGGACUUAUUGAGGAGACGUGUAACGUGGAGUUUGAUGAAAAUAACGGCUCCCAAGUGGAGCAAAGUGGACUUGUGAUGUAGGUGAUGAAAUUCCUCCCCAAGCCAUAAGAAGAAUGGGUAUUGGUUAUAUCCUACCCAUUGAGGAACCCCUUGUGGCCGAAGGAGAAGGACAAUGCUCCACUCAAGUGGAGCCAUCACCAACCCAAGACCCACACGCUUCCGAAGAACAAAGUGAAGGCCCUCAACCUCAUGAACAAGAUCAAGGGCAAGAUCAACCUCAAGAUGGUGGUGAUCCACCAAAUGAUGCCCAAGGUCAAGUUCUUCCCCUCGAGCUAGUUCAAGAUCAAGAACAAGCUCAAGACGAUGCUCAAGAUGAUCAAGUUACCCCUCCUCACUUCACCUCCGAGGAGGAAUUGGAGCGUCGUGCCGCUAAGAUCGCUUCCAAGCUCACCACCAAAGGUCAUCUCAUGGAGAAUGUGGUUGGAAGCCUAAUAAAGGGGGUAAGCACUCGUAGACAAUUAGCAAACUAUUGUGAACAUCAUGCGUUUGUUUCUUGUGUCGAACCCCAAAAGGUUUAUGAAGCGCUUGAGGACCCGGAUUGGCUCAACGCCAUGCAUGAAGAACUCAACAACUUCGAACAUAACCAAGUGUGGAAGUUAGUGCCAAGGCCAACCGGGAAUCAUAAUGUCAUUGGAACCAAGUGGAUAUUCGAGAACAAGCAAGACGCUCAUGGAAUCAUUGUUCGCAACAAGGCUCGUCUAGUGGCACAAGGCUACUCCCAAGUCGAGGGUAUUGACUACGGUGAAACCUUUGCCCCCGUUGCUCGCCUUGAAUCUAUUCGUUUGUUGAUUGCUUAUGCUUCUCAUCAUAAUUUCACUUUGCAACAAAUGGAUGUGAAGAGUGCCUUUCUUAAUGGUCCCAUAAAUGAGUUGGUAUAUGUCAAACAACCCCCCGGGUUCGAAGAUCCCUAUUUCCCCGAUCAUGUGUAUCAACUCCACAAGGCGCUCUAUGGCCUUAAACAAGCCCCACGUGCGUGGUAUAAGCAUCUUACGGAGUUGUUACAAGAUCGUGGAUUCGAAAUCGGGAAAAUCGACCCCACUCUUUUUACUAAGAAGGUCAAAGGGGAGUUGUUUGUGUGCCAACUAUAUGUUGAUGAUAUUAUUUUUGGUUCCCCUAACAAAGCUUUCAAUGAAGAAUUUGCCGCUCUCAUGACCUCAAAGUUCAAGAUGUCUAUGAUGGGAGAGUUGAAGUUCUUUCUCGGAUUCGAAAUCAAACAAAGAAGAAAAGGAACCUUCAUCAACCAAGCCAAAUACACUCAAGACAUGCUAAAGAGAUUCAAGCUAAGUGAUGUCAAGCCGGCUUCCACUCCAAUGCCCACCAAGUGCCAACUUGACAUUGAUCCCAAUGGUAAAGCGGUGGAUCAAAAGGUAUAUCGCUCUAUGAUUGGAUCCUUGCUUUACCUUUGUGCAUCUAGACCGGAUAUCAUGUUGAGUGUGGGAAUAUGUGCACGGUUUCAAGCCGCACCUAAGGAAAGCCACUUUGUGGCGGUCAAGCGAAUCUUUCGAUAUUUGGCUCAUACCCCAAACUUUGGCCUAUGGUACCCAAGAGGAGCAAACUUCAAGCUUGUAGGUUUUUCGGACUCCGAUUGGGCGGGAGACAAAGUGGAUAGGAAGUCCACUUCCGGAGGGUGCCAAUUUCUUGGUUGCUCUUUGGUAAGUUGGUCUUCCAAAAAGCAAAGUUGUGUGUCUCUCUCGUCCACCGAAGCGGAGUAUGUGGCGGCCGGAAGUUGUUGUGCACAACUCUUAUGGAUGAGGCAAACUUUAAAGGAUUACGGCGUCAUUUGUGACAAAGUGCCUCUUUGGUGUGACAAUGAAAGUGCUAUCAAGAUUUCUCUCAACCCGGUGCAACACUUCAAGACAAAGCAUAUUGAGGUUCGGUAUCACUUCAUCCAGGAUCAUAUUAGGCGAGGGGAGAUCGAGCUCAACUAUGUCAACACUCAUGAUAACCUUGCAGAUAUUUUCACGAAGCCAUUGGAUGAAGCAAGAUUUCGCGAGUUAAGGCAUGAGCUAAAUAUCAUUGAUUCGAGCAAUGUGGUUUGAACCUUUGCACACCCCUCACAUUCAUUGUGCUUUCUUGUCUAGGUGUAGGCAUGGACGUAGGGGGAGUGUUGUUCUCUCAAUGAACUUUCCCUCCCCCCCACAAUGCAUAAACUGAUCUCACUCUUCCACAUUAGCCAUUUUUUAUGGUACUUGUGCUUCAUAGACGAGCUUUGGUCAUGGGCCCAAGGAUAAUUCUUCACGGUGCCAUACCAAGUGACUCAAACAUAGGUGGCCUCGGCCACCGCCCUGUCGUAUAGAGGUGUGUGAUUCUUGUUCUCUUGCUAGUGCUCUUGUUGGUCUUCUUGCCAUUGUUUCCCGUCUUUCGUUUUGCACCAUGUGUGUAGAGUCUAGUUUGUGUUGCGCUGGGCGGUACUACCGUUGUGAAGGAGCGGUACUACCGCUCCGCGGAGCGGUACUACCGCUUAUGAGGAUAAGCGGUACUACCGCUGAGCAGGCACGGUACUACCGCUAGAUGCCCAGUUCCAUUGUUUCCUACCACAUGUUGAUCCAUCUUUGUUGUGUUUAUUUGGUUUUGAUCGUUUCUACUGGUUGUUUCUUGUGUCCGUGUGUUUGGUUCCAGGUGAUGAACAUCCUGAGCAGCAAGUCCAUCGUGUCAACCCCGGGCGUUCAACGUCGAAGCGGUACCGCUCAUCUGAGCCUGCAGGUGGUUCUUCCAGUGCUCCACAGCCGGCAGGGGGUGCUUCCUCAAGUGCUAAUCCUCCUCGCACGAAGAAGAUUGCCAGCCGACCAAAGCCAAGUGGCAGGAAAGUGACUGAGAUGUCUAGCAGGGAAUUCUGGGACAAGCGUCGGCGCAACCCCUAUGAGGAAGAACAAGAACCCAAUCUUGUCAACCGCCCGUUCUGGAACCGGUUUCAGUAUUCCACAUACUUUGAUGUGAUCAAAGCCAAGAAGAAUCUCUUUGUCAAUGUUCAUUCCAUCAACACGGAUGCUAUGGAGAAGGACCCUGAGUACUUUGGUGAUGCUCUACAGAUGUGCUCUCAGUUGAACAUUCUCAGGAUCAUGCAGUUCAACAAGGACUUUGAUGCAGAUUUGCUGGCACAGUUCUUUGCCACUGUUCACCUAGGGACUGACGCAGACAGGACUCUGACUUGGAUGACAAAUGGAAAGGUGCUAUUUGUCAAGUGGCAGGCCUUCAUGGGGCUGCUUGAGGUGGAAAAUCAAGGGCUUGAGACUCCAGUUGGUUUUCGUCCUCACCAGAAUACCACCUCCACUCACAAGCAAGCCCUCUGGCCCUACUGUAAUCGGAAGGUCCACCCUGAGACCAGGAAGGAAACCUAUGAGUUGUCUACCUAUUUGGACAUCCUUCACCGCAUCUUCCGCGAGACUCUCUUCCCUCGUAUUGGGAAUCUGGACAUGGUGCACUCUUACCUUGUGGACAUGCUUCUCUUCUGCCAGCGUGAGAAGGACGCAAACACCGGCGAGUCUCUGGACAUCUCUCAUGUCAUGUGGUCUGAGCUUUUGGCGGCUGUUUCUGAGCGCAAGUGCCCAAUUUAUGGUCCGUUCAUCAUGUUGCUUAUUGAGAGGGCCUGGAGACGUACCUAUCCUGAUGAGCAGCUGGAGACUGGAGAGUUGGUCUCUCAUGAGAUCAAGCGUCUGAGGAAGAAAGAUAAUUGGGGUAGAUCUGGAGCUCCGUCUUCUGCUGCUGCCAUGGAGACCGAGGACGAGGCUGAUGCUGGGGAUGAUGAUGAGGAGUAUGUGCCACCUGGGACAGAGCCUUCUGCAGCAGAGCCCUCUUGGGCAAAGAAGCUGAAACACAAGAUGAAGAAGCUGUUCUGCAUGGAGUCUCAUGGUCAGUACAUGACUCAUGUGGCUGAGAAGAAGGCAAGAGGACGACACAAGGAGCUGAUGCGUCAGAUGGGUGCGACAGUCACCAGUGGCUCAGAGGGUCAGAUUACUGAGGAGGAGGAGUGGAUCCAGCAGCACUGUCCGUGGACCGACUCAGAUGCCGAGCAGUUUCCGGGCGCGGACGGCAGUGCAGAUGAUCACGCAGAGUCCUGAUGCUCUCACCUGGAGCCGUAGGUUAGCUCUUUGCCCCUUUUGGUGUCUCGAUGCCAAAGGGGGAGAGAGUUUAGGGAUUUGCGUCUGCGAGUGUGUCUUUGCCUUUGUGCUUUCGUUAUGUGCUACUUUGUGCUUUGCUUGGAACUUGCGUUUGCUUGGUUUUGUGUUCCGUAAGACUUUAGUUCGCGUCAUAUGGUGUGAGACAUAUGCUACCCUAUCAUUAUAAUAUCUUUAUCUUUGUCUCUAGUCAUUUGAUAUCUCUUGAGUUAUAUGCUUCAUUAUGUUAUAUAUCCUGCUAUCUUGUUUCUCGCUUAGGUUGUUGGUCUCUAAAAUACAGGGGGAGUGUUGAUCCUAGUAUGUGCGUCAUGUAGCUCAAAGCACCUAUCUUGAUGGCACACAUCUAGGGGGAGCCCGUCUAUAUUUUAGAGACUUGGGGUUUGCUUAUGCCAUUUGUUUUUUCCCAGUUGUGCAAAUCCCGUAUUUUCAUCAAUCCACCAAAAAGGGGGAGAAUGUAAGGGCAUAUUUAUCCCUAAGAUGUUUUGGUGAUUGAUGACAAUGCUUUUGCGGACUAAUCGUGUGCGUUGAGUGUUUUUCAGAGAUUCAUUCUUUUGGGCACGAGACGAUAUCCUCCCCUCGGAGCUUAAAGCGAAGACGGUGUAGUCCUUUCGGAUUAGUUUGGUGGACUAGUUUCAUAGGGAUCACCGUACUAUCAAGAGGGGGUCCGUUUUGGAAAGGCUAGGGCGGAAUCAUCACGUACACUUCCUUUACCCCUCCCUCCGAGCCUUUCCGUUUCGAUGAUGGGCUUGGUUCUCCUUUCUUUGUGCCCUCUCUGGUCCCAGCGGUAGUACCGCGGGCCAGAGCGGUAGUACCGCUUGGGUGGUACAAGCGGUAGUACCGCUCCGGAGCGGUAGUACCGCCCAGAGCAGUAGUACCGCUAGUAGCUCCGUGCGUGUGCUAUCUCUGGUCCCAGCGGUAGUACCGCGGGACGGAGCGGUAGUACCGCUUGGGUGCCACAAGCGGUAGUACCGCUCUGGGCGCGGUAGUACCGCUCCAGAGCAGUAGUACUGCUGGUGGCCCCAAGCCGUAGUACCGCUCUGGUCCCGUGCUAGUACCGCCUCGAUUCGGGGGCUCCUUUUUCGUGUCGGGUUUUACGGUACUGGCCGCGGCUGUGGGGGGCCGUAGUACCGUUCCUGUGCGGUAGUACCGCCCUCCCUCCGCGGUACCAGCCGCAAAACCCUAGCCUCCUCCGUCCUCCACCCCAUAGCGCCCAAUCCACCGCCGCCCUCCUCCAUCACGCCGGAGCCGGUACCCCGACGUCGUUGUCCAACGCAACCGCAACCGCAACGCCCUCAAGGACUUAGCACCUGAAGCCGAUGUAGAGCUGCCUCCACGAUGCCGACGCCGACGUGCGCCGUACUAGAACUACUCCGACCACGCCGUCCUGCGCCUCACUGCUGCCACUCCACUAUCGCAACCGUCCACCGCACCGGAGCUGUUCCCACUACGCCGUCGUUCGCCGCCUCGGAUCUGCUUCCCCGCCGCCGAUAGAAGGCCACCGCACCACACUCAACAACUUGGCCAUGGGUUCGUCCAAGGCUGCACCGUCCUCCACAACUUCUCAUUUCCAGCGAACCACAAGAAGAUCAUCGGAAAAACAGAAGGAGGACACAGCACUGCCAGCAGAAAAGAGGUACUCCUCUUCCCUUAUUCGUGCAAACCUUACGUCUCUGCUCACACCGUAUUCAUCCCACGAAAGAAACUAGUUGAGCGCUUCUUACUGCAUCUUCUUCGUGAUACUAAAUGCACAAGGUUUCCUCCCUUUACUAUUUCACCUUUGCUUUAGAGGUCAGUAGCCCGCCUGGAUUUCAAUUCAGGGUCAGUCGAACCGCAAUUAAAAGAAGCAGCACCCGCUUAGGCACACGGAGCACCUAGUCCGCCUGUUCGCCGGGGAAGCGGCGCAUCGGUGUCUAUCAUAGGGGUGUGGGGCGCAGGAGCUGCUUGCGCCCAAUCUGGAGGUCGGCGGGGCUUGAAUGGAUUGUCGGGGGGCGGUGUAGAUGAUGAGCACAUCUCCCCUACUCCACCAUCGCAGGUGCUUGCUCUAACUUGGCACUAUUAUAUGUGGUUGCAUGUUGCGUAUGAUGUCUAGCUUGUAUUGCUUCUAACUUUGUUGAAUUGCAUCUGCUUACUUUACACAUAAUGCCUGUGAAUAUGACACGUGUUCCUGUUUCUAGAACAUACGUGUACAUGAUGAGCACAUCUCCCCUACUCCCCCAUCACAGGUGCUUGCUCUAACUUGGAACUGUUAUAUGUGGUUGCGCUUUCCGUAUGAUGUCUAGUUUGUAUUGCUUCUGAUUAUGUUGAAUUGCAUCUGCGUAGCUUACAACUUAUACCUGCAACAAUCACUUACCCAUAAGACACAUUUAACUUGAGACUGUGAUGUAGGUUGCAUCUUGCAUUGUCUUCUAGCUUGUACUGCUUCUAAUUUCUUGAAAUGGCACUUACGGCGAGACACUUUUUACCUGAUCGAGUGAUAUUGGUUGCAUGUUCAUAUGGUGCCUAGCUUUCAUUUCUUCUAAUUUUGUUGAAAUGCCUUCCGCUUACUGUUUUUUCAUACAUAUUCCAUCCUCCUAUCGUACGUGUGAAUAUGAAACGCUGUCUUUUUUUGUAUAUAUUCCAUCCUCCUAUCCUGCGCUUGCCUUACAUCAAAGUAAUGUUCGUCUGUAUCAUGCAUCAACCAGUUAUGCAGAUCUAAUUUUAUUCAUCUUCUUGUGGUUUUGACUUCAUAAGUGUAAGGGCAUAUUUAUCCCUAAGAUGUUUUGGUGAUUGAUGACAAUGCUUUUGCGGACUAAUCGUGUGCGUUGAGUGUUUUUCAGAGAUUCAUUCUUUUGGGCACGAGACGAUAUCCUCCCCUCGGAGCUUAAAGCGAAGAGGUUGUAGUCCUUUCGGAUUAGUUUGGUGGACUAGUUUCAUAGGGAUCACCGUACUAUCAAGAGGGGGUCCGUUUUGGAAAGGCUAGGGCGGAAUCAUCACGUACACUUCCUUUACCGCUCCCUCCGAGCCUUUCCGUUUCGAUGAUGGGCUUGGUUCUCCUUUCUUUGUGCCCUCUCUGGUCCCAGCGGUAGUACCGCGGGCCAGAGCGGUAGUAUCGCUUGGGUGGUACAAGCGGUAGUACCGCUCCGGAGCGGUAGUACCGCCCAGAGCAGUAGUACCGCUAGUAGCUCCGUGCGUGUGCUAUCUCUGGUCCCAGCGGUAGUACCGCGGGACGGAGCGGUAGUACCGCUUGGGUGCCACAAGCGGUAGUACCGCUCUGGGCGCGGUAGUACCGCUCCAGAGCAGUAGUACUGCUGGUGGCCCCAAGCCGUAGUACCGCUCUGGUCCCGUGCUAGUGCCGCCUCGAUUCGGGGGCUCCUUUUUCGUGUCGGGUUUUACGGUACUGGCCGCGGCUGUGGGGGGCCGUAGUACCGCUCCUGUGCGGUAGUACCGCCCUCCCUCCGUGGUAGUACCGCUGUGGACCAAGCGGUAGUACCGUGCUCUUGGGCGGUAGUACCGCUUAUUGUUGCAAGCGGUAGUACCGCUGGCACAGCGGUACUACCGCUCUCUUCAGGGCAGAGUGGGGGUAACGGUUGGUUUGUUCCCCCCACUAUAUAAAGGGGUCUUCUUCCCCAAAGUUGACUCAUCUCUUCCCCCAAAAGCUCCAUUGUUGCUCCAAGCUCCAUUUUCGCCCGAUCUCUCUCCCUAGCCAAUCAAACUUGUUGAUUUGCUCGGGAUUGGUUGAGAAGGCCACGAUCUACACUUCCACCAAGAGAAAUUUGAUUCCCCCACUUAUCCCUAGCGGAUCUUGUUACUCUUGGGUGUUUGAGCACCCUAGACGGUUGAGGUCACCGCGAAGCCGUAGUCCAUUGUGGUGAAGCUUGGUGGUGUCGUUGGGAGCCUCCAAUUGAGUUGUGGAGAUUGCCCCAACCUUGUUUGUAAAGGUUCGGUCGCCGCCUUCAAGGGCACCAAUAGUGGAAUCACGGCAUCUCGCAUUGUGUGAGGGCGUGAGGAGAAUACGGUGGCCCUAGUGGCUUCUUGGGGAGCAUUGUGCCUCCACACCGCUCCAACGGAGACGUACUUCCCUUCAAAAGGAAGGAACUUCGGUAACACAUCCUCGUCUCCACCGGCUCCACUCUUGGUUAUCUUGUUCCUUUACUUUCGCUAGUUUACUUGUGUUAUUUCUCUUACUAGCUUGCAUGCUUGUUGUCGUUGCAUCAUAUAGGUUGCUCACUUAGUUGCAUAUCUAGACAACCUAUUUUGAUGCAAAGUUUAAUUUGGUAAAGAAAAGUUAAAAAAUUGUUAGUUGCCUAUUCACCCCCCCUCAAGUCAACUAUAUCGAUCCUUUCAAUAAGGCAAUAUCAGAAAAUAGGAAGGAAAAGAGUAAGUUAGGGGAUGUUGGUGGUUCUCCGCACUGACGCAAACAGAGACUCUCUAGAUUUGCCACUGCUACUGCUAAUGAAGUUGAAGUCCCAAGUCUACAUGAUGAGUUCAUCUCCCGUACUCCAUCGCAGGUGCUUGCUCUAAGUUGACAGUGUGAUAAUUGGUUUCAUGUUGCAUAUGUUGUCUAGCCUAUAUUUCUUCUAUUUUGAUUAAAUUGCACCUGCUGAGUUCAUACGUUAUACAUGUGCAUAUGACAUGGCGUUCUGUGUCUAGAAUACACUGCAUCUAUCUAUCAUACCAUGUUCUUACAUUAAAGUACUGCUGUUGUGUAUCCCGCAUCGGUCACUCAUGAUUGGACACUUUUAACAUGGCAGUUUGAUAGUGGUUGCAUCUUGCAUUGAUUUGUACGUUGUAAUGCUUCUAAUUUUUUGAAUUGCCACUUAUGACAAGACACUUUUAACUUGGCAGAGUAAUAUUGGUUGCAUCUUUCAUAUGGUGUCUAGCUUGCAUCACUUCUAUUUUCUUGAAAAUCCUUCUCCUUAGUUUACACAUCGUAGCUGUGAAUAUGUCAUGCCGUCCUGUUUUCCUUACAUAUUCCAUCCUCAUACGGUUGUCUUACAUCAAAGUAUUGCUUGUCUGUAUCAUGCAUCAAUGAGUUCUGAAGAGCAAUUUAUUCUUUUGUGUUGUGGGUACGGCUUGACAUGGCAAAGUCAAAAAAGAGCAAGGAAAAUAAUAUAGUAGGGAGUGGUGUUACUCGUCGGGUGAAACGGAAACGGAUCAGCCGUCCAGAUUCUGUUGGUACUUAUAGUGCAGUAGAAGGUCCAAGUCCACCGGCUAAAUCUACAAACACAGUAUCACCUGCUCGACCAGCUACAGCAUCCGCUUCAACUGUACCAGCAUCUCAACGAGUUACUCGUUCGUUUGCUCCGAAACUGGCCAGUUCCCAAGCUGCCUUCACACCUAACACUAUUUCCGAAGCACUGCUGACACAACAGGACUUGGCAAGAUCAGAUGAACCUCAUGAGCAUCAACACCAAGGCGGUACCUGACCGAGUCAAGUUGCAGUUGCAUGCUCCUUUAUAUGUACUCUCACAGUUUGAUGUACACUAACACUUUCCAUAUUCGUUGUUGAACUAGCACCACGACGCAAGCGGAAACAGACAUCAGGGAUAAUGCUUGACAGAUUAAGAAAAUCUAAAGGAGGAAGAAUGGAGAUCCAUUUUGAGGCAGGUUUAAAAAGGCCACGUGAUGCUACAGAGUCAGCCAAGUUAGUAUCAGAGGCAGCCGUUGCUGUUAGGUGUCAUGCACGUAUCCUCCCAACGUGGAUCCAGUACAGGAAUGAGAAAGACAAUACCCAGUUUAACACCUUCCUUUACCAUUUAUCCGUAAGUAAUGUUAUUCAUCGCAAUUAGUAAUAUUGUCUUGCUCUGUCCCAUACUUUCUAGCUUCCUCCUAAUAAGACUCACAUUCUUAUUUCAACAGAUGAGGUUCAAGUUGGAUCUGAAAGAUGAUGCAACUAAACAAGCAUGCACUCAUGUUUUUCAGUCUGCUCUGCGACAGUAUCGGUACCACCUUAGAAAAUCUCACUUUGAAGGCAAGGCUAACAAUGAAAUCGCCCAAACAUCUCCAGUGGAAUAUAUUACAGAUGAAGACUGGACAGCCCUCGUUAAAAACUGGUCUGAUCCAAAGUAUCAGGUAGGCUAUAUGUAUUUGAUCAGACCACAUAUCGAACUUGUAUUUAUGUAUGUGCCUUACAAGUGUAUCUUCUUCUAGGCUAACUGUUUGAAGAACAAGACCAACCAUUCUAAAGUGAAAUUCCAACAGACAACAGGAUCUCGUAGCUAUAUUGCACACUGCGAGGCUCUUGUAAAUAGCUGCUACUUCCUUCUUUUUUCUGUGCCAUAUUAUUGUAUCUAUAUUGACUUGUUCCAAAUACAGAGGAAAGCACGUGCGGACCAAAAAGAACCUGAACCGAAUGUAGUGCAAAUCUUCAAGGAUUGCCACACCAGCAAGAUGAAGGGCAUGAGCAGACCAGUUCAAGCCGCUGUUGUAAGUCCUUACUCCUCCUGCCUUUGAACUGAUUGGUACUGUGAUGUGUUCAUUUAACUACUUGGUUUGUUUUUGUCUCAUUAGUAACUUAUCUAGUACACUAAUCUACAAGUUCAAACUUUCAGGAAGCUAUGGAAAAAAUGAUUGAACAGCCACAACCACCUGAGGGUGACGAGGCUACCACAGGCACAAUGUCACCUCUUGCUGCAGUGCAUCAGUAUCUCUCCACUAAUAGUGCAAAAAGCACCUUCCUGCGUAAUUUUGGGUUGGUUAUCAAGGUAACCUCGUCCAAAUCGCCUACUGAACAAAAUCUUCCUGCUAGACAGAGUGAUAUAUCUGUGCUCCAGACACAAGUCCAAUCCCUAAUGGACGUCGUUUUGGAAACAAUAAUAGUGGUUGACAAAUGUCGUCAAGAUAUGAAUGGUUUUGAAACCAGACUAUCAGACAUUCGCUUCGUUGUUCAAGAGCAAUGGCGGAAAAAGCUGAAGAUCGUGCUGCUCCAUCAGAUUCUACAGCCUGAAACAUUAGCACUCAGGUUAAAUGAUCUGUGCUUCUAUACAUCUGAUGGUGCUUUUAUCUGCAAGAACUGUAAACUUUAUGCCAACAGGCCUUUUGUUGUGAUACAACAUUUAUGCUGUUGCCGAAGGCUGCAAUAAUUACGACGCUAUUUGUGACGCCCUUGAUUCAAUCGUACACUAAUCGUACACGCAAAUGUGUACGAUCAAGAUCAAGGACUCACGGGAAGAUAUCACAACACAACUCUAGACACAAAUUAAAAUAAUACAAGCUUUAUAUUACAAGCUAGGGGCCUCGAGGGCUCGAAUACAUAAGCUCUAAAACACAAGAGUCAGCGGAAGCAACAAUAUCUGAGUACAGACAUAAGUUAGACAAGUUUGCCUUAAGAAGGCUAGCACAAAAGCAACACGAUCGAAGAGGCAAGGCCUCCUGCCUGGGAGCCUCCUAACUACUCCUGGUCGUCGGCGGCCUCCAUGUAGUAGUAAACAUCGGCGGUGGCAUCUGGCUCCUGGGCUCCGACAUCUGGUUGCACUAACCGGAAAGGAGAAGAAAGGGGGAAAAGGGGGAGCAAAGCAACCGUGAGUACUCAUCCAAAGUACUCGCAAGCAAGGAUCUACACUACAUAUGCAACAUUAUCAAAGGAAGGCUGUAUAUGUGGACUAGGCUGCAGAAAUGCCAGAAUAGAGAGAAGGCCUAGUACUAUCAAAGAUUAGCAUCUUCAGCAUCUUCAAGCAUCUUCAUCAUCUUCAAGCAUCUUGCAGCAUCAGAAGAGGUAAGAGUAGCAUAAAGUAAAGUAGUAGCAGUGUUAUCAACCUCGGCCGGACACCCUUUCUCGACUCCCUGCGAGAAAGCAAUCCCAGAGCCAUAUUAUCCAGUUAUCAUCACAAUCCAUUACUCAUCACAAGUAUCCAGUUCUAGUUGUAUCGAUCGGGAUACAACUCCAACUGUCCGUUACCGUAGGACAGGCUAUCGAUAGAUGUUUUCUUCCCUGCAAGGGUGCACCAACUUACCCACCACGCUCGAUUAACUCCGGCCGGACACACUUUCCUGGGUCAUGCCCGGCCUCGGCCAAACAAUACGCUGCAACCCGACCUAGGCUUAAUAGAGAGGUCAAGCACGCCGGACUAAACCUAUGCCCCCAGGGGUCAUGGGCCAUCGCCCCGGGAACUCCUGGACGUUGCGUGGGCGGCCGGUGAGCAGACCUAUCUACCUCCUUAAAAAAGGCGGGAGCUUACCAGUCCAACCCGACGCGCGCCGCUCAGUCGCAUGACGUGUAUUAAGCUUCGGCUGAUGCAUACGACGCAGAACGCCCAUACUAUGCCCACGUGAUGGUUAGUGCUAUCAAGCCAGAGGCCCCUCGGAUCAAAUAUCCAAAUCGUAGUGGAUUAGGAGCACGCGGUAACAAGCAAAGACUCACGAAAUAUGUGACCCCGUUGCCCCGUCUCGAGGACUUGCGACAAGGGCUAAGAAUGCCCGGCCACGCCUCGUAAGUAUCUCGCGGGCACCCUCCAGGUCAACCCGUCUCCACAUCACUCGCGGGUACCCUUCAGGGUCGACCCGCCCUUCCAAGAAACAGCUGUAAAGUCCAAGUAACCGUGUGUCCAAACAUCAAGGGGAAAAACCGAGGAAUCACCCCCCGGUGAAUUCCACUCGAUGUAGUCAUCAAGGUGAACGUAAGAGGAACCACCCCCGAGGUUCACACUUGAGGGGUUGCACGAUAGAGUCGUAUCGGAAGUGGUUAAGGCGGAAUCACCCUCGAUGACCACAACCGAAUAACUACACUACAGGGUUAACAUCAGAAGUGCUGUAGAGGUCUCACCCUCGGCACUCGAUAGUAACCCAGUAGUGUCGAACAACUAAGGGGAAAGUGAUGUGCGGUGUCGGGGCCUGGUCUUCGAUCCCGUUGAUCGGUUCUUCAAUGAUGAAGCAGGGGCAACAAGGACAAGGUGGGGGUCACUGAUGGAUCACUAACCAACCUAUACUAAGAAGUUUAGGAUAAGCAGGUAGGUAACAUUAAGCAGGUUACAAAAGCAGGCUAUGCAUCAGAAUAGGAGCAAUCAAUUACAGUAGCAAAAUCUAAUGCAAGCAUGAGAGAAUGCAAUGGGCGAUAUCGGGAUGAUCAAAGGGGCGGCUUGCCUGGUUGCUCAGACAAGGAGGGUCGUCAGUGGCGUAGUCGAACAUAGUGGCAUCGGCAGCCGCCUCGGGGUCUACCGAAAAGAAGUAACGGAGAAGGAACACAAUAAAUAAUAGAGCAAUCAAAGCAUCAUAAAGCAUAACAUGGGAAAACGCGGUGCUAGGAGCGAUCUAACGCGGUGCUAGGUGAUACAGACGAAGAGGGAAAACAUCCGGGAAUGUUUUCCCGGUUCCGGACGUCUGUCAGACAGAUGAACCGGAGGGGAAAUGUUCGAGGUUUGCUAAGCUAGGGACGUGUGGCGGACAAACGGGCUGCUUAUUCGGAUUCGUCUCGUCGUUUUGAGCAACUUUCAUGUACAAAGUAUUUUAAUCUGAGCUACGGAUUAUUUAUUAUGAUUUUUCAAAGAAAUUCAAAAAAAAUAACAGUAAAUACUUUUGCCACCUAGGGCAGUGUUAGCCAGAGUGCAUGACAAGUGGGAUCAUUGAGGAGAGUUGACCCAGUCAAUAUUUGACUAGUCAACAGAUGAAUAGUGCAAGUGGGUCCCAUGUAUCAUUGACUUAGGCAUUUUUUUAAAUUUGCUUUUUCUUUAAACUAACAGUAGGUCCACAUGUCAUCUGCUAUUACACUAACUUAGCACUACUUUACUUCUAUUAUAAACUAGUCCUAAUUAAAACAAGGGCCGGCCACACACGGUUGUGGCAAAGGCUGCCACACACACACAUAGAGCACGCAACAGCAAAACAGAGCAGCAGUAGCGGCAGAGCAGUAGCAACUAGCGACAGUGGCAGUAGUAAGAAGAAGCAGCGGCACGGAUUAGGAGCAGCAGCAGCCAACAGCAAUGAGCAGUAGUAGGGAGUAGCAUCAGCGGCGGCACGAGCAACAGCAAAGCAGUCGGCGUGCGCAGCAAGCGGUGAGGAGCAGCCGAACGCAGUAGCAUCGCCAGCAGCAGGCACGCGGGCGUGGGCGCACGUGCACGCGCAGCUGGCACACGGGCGGGGAGCGACGGGCGCGAGCGAGCAUGUCCUGGGUGCGGCCUGCGCACGCGCCGACAGUGCAGGGGCGAGGCCAGGAAGCCGGAGGCGCGCGAGAGUGCGGCCACGGGCGCGGCGGCCGCGAGCUCGCCCGGAGCUCGGGCACGGUGAUGCAACGGCCUACGACGAUGGAUUCGACGGUGGGAAAGGGGGAAUCGGUGUAGGGGCUCACAUUGGUACGGCUGGGGAGGUCAGUGAGGUCGCGGGAGCACCGGAGGCGGCGAAUUGAGCGGCGAGGUCCGGUAGGGCAGAGGUUGAAGACGGCGUCGACGAGCUUGAUGCGGAGGCGCUGGGCUCCAACGGGCAGCCUCAGGCGAUGGAGACGACCGUGGUGGAGCCCCUGGUCGCCUUGGCGCGUCUCCGGGUGGAUGCGUUGGGCGACAACGACGGUGGCACGGCGAUGUCAGUGGCGGACGAGCUCGAGAUCGAGCGAGAGGGCGAGAGGCGAGGGGGAAAAUGUCCUAGGGUUUCCAGCGAGAGGGAGGCAGGGCCCUCGUAGGCAAGGGAGGGAGGCUGUGGAUGGCCUCCACGCAAGGCACGGCGCGGCCAUGGCCUGCCGAUGGGUGCCACGACCCACUUGCCUCCCUGUAAUAGGAGGUUGGGGAUGGCAGGGGUGGGCUGGACCUGUUUUUGCUGCUAGAUAGGCCAAGGCCCAGUGGGACAGGGGGUGGACUGUAGGUUUAGGUCCAUAGGGAAAAGAGGGGGGACUUUUCUCCCUUUUUUAUAAAAGUGCUAGUGUUUCCUAUUUAGUUUAGAUAGUAAUUGAUUAUUGUCGGAGCUCAAACUAUGCACAAAAAUGCUAUGCAAUAUUCUAGGGCUGCACGAAAGUUUUCGAGGCAUUUGCAAAGGUUGAGAAGAUUUGCUUAAUUGAAAAGGCCAAUUUAAAAGCCUUUGGACCACUUAUUGAAAUCCUAGGAAAUUAUUUGUGAGUCAAUUUAAGUUGGAUUCAACUUGACAAAGGUCAGGAGAAUUUAUAGAAUAUUGUGAACAUUUUAGUUUGAAUGUUUGAAAACUUUUGCCGUUUGACUUGAUUUUGAAUUUUGAAUUUGAAUGGGAUUGAAGCAACGCGAGUUUAUCAACAGUAAUCAUGGUGACGUGCCAUCAUUAGUAGAGGGUUACUGUAGCUUAAUUAUCCGGGCAUUACAAUUCUCCUCCACUACAGGAAAUCUCGUCCCGAGAUUUAAGGGGUGGAGUAAGGGGAAAGACUUGGGAAGGACGGAGCUCAACACAAGAUAGGUACCUGGGGGCUAUCUCAAUGAACGUUGCAUAGAGGCAUCUCUCGAGUUGAAAUUAAAGAAAGUCAUCGAGAGCAAGGUAAGAAGGUGCAAUAAGAAGCUUCAAGCGGGUAGGCAAUCGUUCGUUGCCUGAAACAGAGGGUGAAAGGGGUUCAGAGCAAUGGGAAUAAGUAUUGCGUCUGAUACCAUAAUAGAUCACUAGGUAGGUCGCUCAUGAUUUACAUAUGAAGCCAAGCGCGAGGAACAAUUUUGGAGAACAGGGAUGUACAAGAGUCAGGUUUCGAUCCUGUGGAACGGUGGGUUAUGGGCCCACCCUGUGGGUUAAAAGCAGGAAGGGCGCUAGCAUUUUGCACGGUCAUGAUAGCAAGGCAGGUUAGAAGAUAGCCUGUCAUUUAUGUUGGGAACAACGUUGGUACCAAGGGCGAGGGACGAAGAGAACCAUUUUCCUGCUCACAAGGCGAGGUGGACCAAUAGGCAAAGUUCUCGUCCAUCGGUGGCUACCAGAAUGUCAUCAACAAUAGUAACAAGGUCUUACUACAGAGCUUGUACACCGAGGUGUAUACAUAAGGAGGGAUUUAUAACUGCUUAGAUCAUAUAGAUCACAAGAAAGGUUAAACAAAACAAUGGAAAGGAAAAUGUGGUUAUUAGUUUAACCAGACCAAUGGAAAGGAAAAGGUGCUUAUACAAAAGUAUUAGAGUAUAUGCUUCCCAAGAACAAACAGAGCAUGAUAUACAUGACAGGACAUCAAGUACUUAUCCAUUUUGUUAAUGGGGCAAGGAGAAUCAUGUUGUUUACCCAUACAACGGUGUUUGGAUAAUUGAUCAAGAAACAUUUAGCAUUGCGCCUCCAAUGUUCUUAGUGAUGUUCGGAGUAACACAGUCAUACUUUUGGAUAGCAUUGACAUGGUCAUCAGGUAAAGGCCGGACCUUGGGAACACAAAGGAUCCAUCGGGAAUUACUUGAACACCUCAUGCAAUUUUAUCAGGGAAGAUGAGGAGGUGGUCGAUGGUUUCAGCAAAAAUCCGUCGACAUGUCAAAAAGGAUGUAUUUCCAAAAUUUAUAACAAAUUCGUGUUGGGGGAGGCAAGAAUGUUGUCAAUGAUAACACAAAUCAUUGAGGGGCAAGGAUGGUAUUUCUCAUCAUAAAUUCGAUUGAUAUCCUGGAAGAGCUCAGAAUGUCGAUGAUGAUCACGACACAUUUGUCGAGAGAUUUCAUGAAGAUGUAAUCGAUCGGCGAUGACAUCAAGUCAAAGGAAUGAUGAAGCGAAAGGUUAUUGGAACCACGGUUACGACACAAACUCGAAAUCAAGCUUGCUGUUCAAGGAGAAAUGAUAUGACGAGGAAGAUCGACUUAGGCUUAGCUCAUCGUCGAAAAUUGUGCUCCGGGAAGAAGGACCAGGUAGCACAGUUAAAAGUUACCACGGUAAAGAUAUAGCCGAUCAGGCUAGGAAUGACUUGAAGGAUUAUUAAACUCGUAAGCAACAAAAAUUACUUAGAGUUAUAGAAUCGGAGUGUGGAAUCGAUUCACUUAUCGGUGUUCUCGGUUGACAAACAACCCAGAAACCAUGAAGUGACAAAGACAGGGUAAGGUAGUACUCCAUCAAAAGUUCAUAAGAUGUACUACAGUGGCAUGAUAUCCUCGAGAUAUCAGGGGUAAUACUCGAAGGUAGAUCAUAAUAGGGGUUGGGCAGGCGUAUUAACCUGCAGAAGACAAGUGAUUUAACUCGUCCAAGAAAUGGGACCAAAGAAGAACAAUCAUGGUCGGAACCACGGCUGCGAAGGAUCAAUUCACAGAUACCAGAUGAUAUUAUAUCAAGAAAAUAUUUAUUAUAACAAGAAGCUUCCAUGAUAGGAUCUACAUCGUGUCCAUGGGCAUGAACACAAAGUUCAAGGUCGACUCCCACUUCUUCAAUGCAUAACCUUUCAUUCACUUCUCGCUUUCGAUGGAGUUGUAGUGUUGGAAUUUAUCUGGCAAAACGCCGGAAGAGUAUGACUCGUGAGAACUCUCGGGUUCAUAGGAUUAGGGAAGGCAUAAGUUCAACCCAUAGGGGCAUCUUAGGAACAUAUACCACAAACUUAAAGAGUAACUAACACAAGCUCAAAGGUAGAGCAUGGCUGACCAAAGGAGAGGAUACAAUUUACCAAAGGCAUUAUGUAUCAGGGAAGAACUCACAAGGUGGUUAAAUACGAGGGGCACUGUCGGAUAAUGAUCCAACAAAGGAUGUGAUGGUCCACAAGGGAUCUGAUGUGAGCAUCGAUACUCAUCCAGAAGAAGAAAGAAUGCAAGGAUAUCAGAUUAUAGAAACAACUGACUAAUUCGAAGCUCAAAUGCAAAGGAAGUAUGAUUUCCAAAUCAAGGGAUCAGAAGCAGACGCUCUGAUUAAGGAUGGAUAAGUUGAAUAGGCUUAGAUCGACAAUCAAUCAAGGUUUGAUUUACCGAGAAACAGCUCAUGUCCAGAGUGGAGUCUGAGCCAGAAGGAUAAAUAAUUACCAGGGAAUAACUAAUGAAUGUGUGCGUUCAAGCACAUGUCAAAUCAAUAGGAAAGGAAUGGCAAUCUCAAAGGAGUUUAAUGAAUAUUGUUAGACAUAUGGAAUUAACCAUAAUGCAAGACGAUAAGGAAGAACAUGAGGAAUAAGCUACUAAGGAUUAUCGGAAGAUCGAAUAGUAUUCCAAAAAAUUUGUGAAACACAUGAACAACUACGGAUGAACGGAUCCCCGGUAAGUGUGAGGAAUUAUUCGCAAGGGCUUUCAUGUGGUAAGGAACUGCAGGGCAGUAAGCAUAAAGGAUUCUCGGACCACCGACGAGUAUCUCAAGGCAUCCUGUAAUAACAAGAGCAACUGGGGAUGAAGGUAUGAACGGCAAUUGUAGGUCGUUAUCCAUAGGGGUUGACGGUGGAAGGGAAUCAAAAAAGCGAUGAGCACAAGUUCUCGAGCGAACAUCACAGAGUAUCUUCGAAGUCUUCUGGUGAAGUAGGCGAUCAUCUGGAAUGAAGGGGCUCCCCGGGAGGAAGUAGUUGCGAGAACCUAGCGUUAGAGUUAGGAAAAUCAUUUAACCCGAAUAGAAGUGAUAUCAGAGUCUCGGAGCAUAGACGGGGAAUAAAAGAUCCUAACAUCACCCAAUGGUGACGUGGGCCCAUAAGACACACAUUCAUGUUAGUAAAAGUUUUUUUGUAGUGACAAGACUCAACUUCGGCCAAGGAGUUGGAAAGGGGGUUCCUACAGGCAGUCGGCUAUACCAACUUGUGACGCCCUCGAUUCAAUCGUACACUAAUCAUACACGCAAAUGUGUACGAUCAAGAUCAAGGACUCACGGGAAGAUAUCACAACACAACUCUAGACACAAAUUAAAAUAAUACAAGCUUUAUAUUACAAGCCAGGGGCCUCGACGGCUCGAAUACAUAAGCUCGAAAACACAAGAGUCAGCGGAAGCAACAAUAUCUGAGUACAGACAUAAGUUAGACAAGUUUGCCUUAAGAAGGCUAGCACAAAAGCAACACGAUCGAAGAGGCAAGGCCUCCUGCCUGGGAGCCUCCUAACUACUCCUGGUCGUCGGUGGCCUCCACGUAGUAGUAAACAUCGGCGGUGGCAUCUGGCUCCUGGGCUCCGACAUCUGGUUGCACCGACCGGAAAGGAGAAGAAAGGGGGAAAAGGGGGAGCUAAGCAACCGUGAGUACUCAUCCAAAGUACUCGCAAGCAAGGAUCUACACUACAUAUGCAACAUUAUCAAAGGAAGGCUGUAUAUGUGGACUGGGCUGAAAAUGCCAAAAUAGAGAGAAGGCCUAGUACUAUCGGAGACUAGCAUCUUCAGCAUCUUCAAGCAUCUUGCAGCAUCAGAAGAGGUAAGAGUAGCAUAAAGUAAAGUAGUAGCAGUGUUAUCAACCUCAGUCGGAGAUCCUUUCUCGACUCCCUGCGAGAAAGCAAUCCCAGAGCCAUACUAUCCAGUUAUCAUCACAAUCCAUUACUCAUCACAAGUAUCGAGUUCUAGUUGUAUCGAUCGGAAUACAACUCCAAGUGUCCGUUACCGUAGGACAGGCUAUCGAUAGAUGUUUUCUUCCCUGCAGGGGUGCACCAACUUACCCACCAUGCUCGAUUAACUCCGGCCGGACACACUUUCCUGGGUCAUGCCCGGCCUCGGCCAAACAAUAUGCCGCAACCCAACCUAGACUUAAUAGAGAGGUCAAGCACGCCGGACUAAACCUAUGCCCCCAGGCGUCAUGGGCCAUCGCCCCGGGAACUCCUGCACGUUGCGUGGGCGGCCGGUGAGCAGACCUAUCUACCUCCUUAAAAAGGCGGGAGCUUACUAGUCCAACCCGGCGCGCGUCGCUCAGUCGCAUGACGUCUAUUAAGCUUCGGCUGAUGCAUACGACGCAGAACGCCAUACUAUGCCCACGUGAUAGUUAGUGCUAUCAGGCCAGAGGCCCCUCGGAUCAAAUUUCCAAAUCAUAGUGGAUUAGGAGCAUGUGGUAACAAGCAGAGACUCACGAAAGAUGUGACCCCGUUGCCCCGUCUUGAGGACUUGCGGCAAGGGCUAAGAAGGCCUGGCCACGCCUCGUAAGUAUCUCGCGGGCACCCUCCAGGUCAACCCGUCUCCACAUCACUCGCGGGUACCCCUCAGGGUCGACCCGCCCUUCCAAGAAACAGCUGUAAAGUCCAAGUAUCCGUGUGUCCAAACAUCAAGGGGAAAACCCGAGGAAUCACCCCCGGUGAAUUCCACUCGAUGUAAUCAUCAAGGUGAACGUAAGAGGAACCACCCCCGAGGUUCACACUUGAGGGGUUGCAUGACAGAGUCGUAUCGGAAGUGGUUAAGGCGGAAUCACCCUCGAUGACCACAACCGAAUAACUACACUACAGGGUUAACAUCAGAAGUGCUGUAGAGGUCUCACCCUCGGCACUCGAUAGUAACCCAGUAGUGUCGAGCAACUAAGGGGAAAGUGAUGUGCGGUGCCGGGGCCUGGUCUUCGAUCCCGUUGAUCGGGUCUUCAAUGAUGAAGCAGGGGCAACAAGGACAAGGUGGGGGUCACUGAUGGAUCACUAACCAACCUAUACUAAGCAGUUUAGGAUAAGCAGGUAGGUAACAUUAAGAAGGUUACAAAAGCAGGCUAUGCAUCAGAAUAGGAGCAAUCAAUUACAGUAGAAAAAUCUAAUCCAAGCAUGAGAGAAUGGAAUGGGCGAUAUCAGGAUGAUCAAAGGGGGGGCUAGCCUGGUUGCUCAGACAAGGAGGGUCGUCAGUGACGUAGUCGAACAUAGUGGCAUCGGCAGCCGCCUCGGGGUCUACCGGAAAGAAGUAACGGAGAGGGAACACAAUAAAUAACAGAGCAAUCAAAGCAUCAUAAAGGAUAACAUGGGAAAAUGCGGUGCUAGGAGCGAUCUAACGCGGUGCUAGGUGAUACAGACGAAGAGGGAAAACAUCCGGGAAUGUUUUCCCGGUUCGGGACGUCUGUCAGACAGAUGAACCGGAGGGGAAAGGUUCAAGGUUUUCUAAGCUAGGGACGUGUGGUGGACAAACGGGCUGCUUAUUCGGAUUCGUCUCGUCGUUUUGAGCAACUUUCAUGUACAAAGUAUUUUAAUCUGAGCUACGGAUUAUUUAUUAUGAUUUUUCAAAGAAAUUCAAAAAAAUAACAGUAAAUACAUUUGCCACCUAGGGCAGUGCUAGCCAGAGUGCAUGACAAGUGGGGUCAUUGAGCAGAGUUGACCCAGUCAAUAUUUGACUAGUCAACAGAUGAAUAGUGCAAGUGGGUCCCAUGUAUCAUUGACUUAGGCAUUUUUUUAAAUUUGCUUUUUUCUUUAAACUAACAGUAGGUCCACAUGUCAUCUGCUAUUAGACUAACUUAGCACUACUUUACUUCUAAUCUAAACUAGUCCUAAUUAAAACAAGGGCCGGCCACACACGGCUGUGGCAAAGGCAGCCACACACACACAUAGAGCACACAACAGCAAAACAGAGCAGCAGUAGCGGCAGAACAGUAGCAACUAGCGACAGUGGCAGUAGUAAGAAGAAGCAGCGACUGGGAUUAGAAGCAGCAGCAGCCAACAGAAAUGAGCAGUAGCAGGGAGUAGCAUCAGCGGCGGCACGAGCAGCAGCAAAGCAGUCGGCGCGCGCAGCAAGCAGUGAGGAGCAGCCGAACGCAGUGGCAUCGCCAGCAGCAGGCAUGCAGGCAUGGGCGCACGCGCACGCGCAGCUGGCGCGCGGGCGGGGAGCGACGGGCGCGAGCGGGCAGGUCCGGGGUGCGGCCGGCGCACGCGCCGACAGCGCAGGGGCGAGGCCAGGAAGCCGGAGGCGCGCGAGAGUGCGGCCACGGGCGCGGCGGCCGCGAGCUCGCCCGGAGCUCGGGCACGGUGAUGCAACGGCCUACGACGAUGGAUUCGAUGGUGGGAAAGGGGGAAUCGGUGUAGGGGCUCACAUUGGUACGGCUGGGGAGGUCAGUGAGGUCGGGGGAGCACCGGAGGCGGCGAAUUGAGCGGCGAGGUCCGGCAAGGCAGAGGUUGAAGACGGCGUCGACGAGCUUGAUGCGGAGGCGCUGGGCUCCAACGGGCGGCCUCAGGCGAUGGAGACGACCGUGGUGGAGCCCCUGGUCGCCUUGGCGCGGCUCCGGGUGGAUGCGGUGGGCGACAACGACGGUGGCGCGGCGAUGUCAGUGGCGGACGAGCUCGAGAUCGAGCGAGAGGGCGAGAGGCGAGGGGGGAAAUGUCCUAGGGUUUCCAGCGAGAGGGAGGCGGGGCCCUUGUAGGCAAGGGAGGGAGGCUGUGGAUGGCCUCCACGCAAGGCACGACAUGGCCAUGGCCUGCCGAUGGGUGCCACAACCCCCUUGCCUCCCUGUAGCAGGAGGUUGGGGAUGGCAGGGGUGGGCUGGACCUGUUUUUGCUGCUAGCUAGGCCAAGGCCCAGUGGGAGAGGGGGUGGACUGUAGGUUUAGGUCCAUAGGGAAAAGAGGGGGACUUUUCCCCCUUUUUUAUAAAAGUGCUAGUGUUUCCUAUUUAGUUUAGAUAGUAAUUGAUUAGUGUCGGAGCUCAAACUAUGCACAAAAAUGCUAUGCAAUAUUCUAGGGCUGCACAAAAGUUUUCGAGGCAUUUGCAAAGGUUGAGAAGAUUUGCUUAAUUGAAAAGGCCAAUUUAAAAGCCUUUGGACCACUUAUUGAAAUCCUAGGAAAUUAUUUGUGAGUCAAUUUAAGUUGGAUUCAACUUGACAAAGGUCAGGAGAAUUUAUAGAAUAUUGUGAACAUUUUAGUUUGAACGUUUGAAAACUUUUGCCGUUUGACUUGAUUUUGAAUUUUGAAUUUGAAUGGGAUUGAAGCAACGCGAGUUUAUCAACAGUAAUCAUGGUGACGUGCCAUCAUUAGUAGAGGGUUACUGUAGCUUAAUUAUCCGGGCGUUACACUAUUUUUGUAUAGUGUAGGUUUAUCUUAGUAAUGUAUUCGGCCGAAAGCUUCGUAGGAGUCCAACAUGCCAACAUUCGUCGGGCCCAUUCCAAUUGGGUUAAAAAUGAUUAUGGGCCGAAAUUUGCAUGUAGCCCACUAAAAAUAUCUGGGCCUAAAUCAGCAUAAGAUUUCAUAUUUUUCUGGUAGGCCUGUGCUCAUAGUGGGCCUUUAACAGGCCUAAACAUAAUUUGGGCCCUCGGUAACAAUAGGCUGUUUAUAGGUGUAAAUAUCUUGAGCCCAUAAAAAACAUGGGCCUUUAAAAGACCGAAAGUGAGAUUGGGCCCAUUUACGAUGCGGAUCUUUCACAGGCCAAAAUUCGGACGUGCCGUAAAUGCGCCGACCUAAUACACGGGCCUUUAACAGGCCGGAAGUUCGGUUGGGCUAGAUUAUCGUCAUUUUUAUAUGGGCCGUUAAUGGGCCCGAUGUGACGUUGGGCCACAUAUGGCCCAUGGAUUUCAUCCGACGUUAACAGGCCGAAAAUCACAACAGGCCGAAAGUGGCCCAAAUCUAUAGUGGGCCGCUAACAGGCCGAAUGUCAGACAUGGCCGAAUAUGACCCAAAUCCUUCACGGUCGUUUAUGGGCCGAAAGUUUCAAUGGCCUGUAAAUGGGCCCAAAUGAAGCAGGACCUUUAAUAUGCCGGAAAUACACCGGGCUGUAAUUCGGCCCAUAUACUUAGCGGACUGUUAACGGGCCAGAAGUGAUCAUGGGUCGCGAUGAUGACAAGUUUAGGACAGGCCGUUGACGGGCCGAUUUGACACUAGCCGUACGGGCCUUAACUGAGAAUGUUGGGCCUUUAUCUGGGCCGGCCCAUUAUGGUCCACAAAAUCUCGCGGGCCUUUAGCUGGGCCGGCCCAUUAUGGCCCGCAAAAUCUUGUGGGCCUUUAGCUGGGCCGGCCCAUUAUGAUACGAAAAAUCUCGUGGGCCUUUUGCUGGGCUGGCCAUUAUGGACUGCAAAAUCUUGUGGGCCUUUAGUUGGGCCGGCCCAUUUAAACUUUAUGGGCCACUUUUGGGCCGGUCCACGUGUCAGCAUAUCAUAGGCGCAUCUCGCCCAUUGGAUGUGUGACACCUGUGCCAACGCGGAGCUGACACGUGUUUCCGUCAGCCAAUGAGAAUUUUACACGUGGAAAAUCCCCAUUGUUCCGGGCUGUUAACGGGUUAUCGGAUCCAAAACCGGACCCGAUAGCUUAACGGCGUUCCGUUACAGUGGAUGCCACGUGUCGGUCACCCUUGACGAAAGCACUUCUGUGAUGCGCUAUUUAUCAUCAUGGAAGUGGACACUUCCGUGAUGAUAAUUUUGGUAAUGUCAUGGAACACUUCUACGACAGCACAGGUAUGACUAUCUUGAUUUUGUCAUAAAUUUGUCAUGGAUGUACAUGCAUGACAGAAAACGUGACCUACUGUGACAAACACGUAUCAUCACGGAAGUGUAUUUUUUUUGUAGUGCAUACUACUUUGCUACUAAAUAUUUUGCUGCAGAUAUUAAGUCUUUCAGGUGUGGUUGAAUUGACAACUCAACUGCUAAUACUUGAGAAUAUUCUUUGGCUCCCCUUGUGUCGAAUCAAUAAAUUUGGGUUGAAUACUCUACCCUUAAAAACUAUUGCGAUCCCCUAUACUUGUGGGUUAUCAAUUCCUUGUCAGGACACUCAGAGAUGUAGUGUCCUGGCUUCUUGCAUUUGUGGCAUGUUCUCUUCUUGUGGUCACGAGAGGAAGCCUCAUCAUUUCUUAAGCUGGAUCUCGAAGACUUUCUGGAGCGAUUCUUUUUGGAGAACUUCUGGAACCUCUUCACGAGCAUAGCUAGCUCCUUUCCAAUGUCUUCAGGAUCCUCAGAACUGCAGUCAGAUUCUUUCUUCAGAUGAGGAAGCGGCCUUUGCCUUCGAAGCAGGGGUUCGGCCAUAGUUGGGGCCAUAGAUGUCUCUGUUUUCAGAUAGCUAGAACUCAUGUGUGUUGAGUCUCUCAAGUAUGUCAGACGGAUAAAGAUCUUUGAAGUUAGGAUAUUCUUGUAUCAUCAGGCUAGGGUGUUAAAUGAGCUGUCGAGUGAUCUCAGAAGCUUCUUCACGGUGCUUGGUGAUCUCAGUGGCGCCAAGAGCACGAAUCUCAUUUGUGAUAUCAGUGAGGCGAUCAAAUGUGAGCUGAACAUUCUCAUUAUCGUUUCUCUUGAAGCGGUUGAAGAGAUUGCAAAGAACAUCAAUCCUUGAGUCUCUCUGAGUUGAGACGCCUUCGUUGACCUUGGACAGCCAGUCCCAGACUAGCUUCGCAGUUUCCAAUGCACUCACACGGCCAUACUGUCCUUUGGUCAGAUGACCACAGAUGAUGUUCUUGACGGUCGAGUAGAGUUGAGUGAACCUCUUGACAUCAGCAGCAGUGACACCUUCACCGACCUUGGGAACGCCUGUCUUGACGACAUACCAGAGGUCAACGUCAAUGGCUUCAAGAUGACUGCGCAUCUUAUUCUUCCAGUAGGGGUAAUCAACGCCAUCGAAGACUGUGCACGCAACGGAGACCUUGAUUAUCCCUGCAAUCGACAUAGCUAAAACUCCAGGUGGUUAAACCGAAUCACACAGAACAAGGGAGCACCUUGCUCUGAAACCAAUUGAAAGUGCUACUUAUCGACUAGAGGGGGGUGAAUAGGCGAUUUUUAUGAAAGUCUUCAAAAUGCGAGGUCUUUGAAGACAAACAGAUGAAAUGAACCAAUUGAUAUGCAGCGGAAGAUAGACUACACUAGACAAGCCAUAGUCAAGUAAGCAGUAUUGUGAAAGUACGAAGAGUAUCAGCAGCUAGGUAGUAUGGAUCAGAAUGGAAGACAAUAUGAAGCCAAAUAGGUAAUAGUCUUCACACAGUGAAGUCAAUCAGAUCACACAAGCAAGCAAUGACUUCACGAAGACAAACUGAAAAGUAAAGGAAGUAGGGGAUAUAACCAGUAGCUUGGUGAAGACAAGGAUUUGGUAGACCAGUUCCAGUUGUUGUGACAGUUGUACGUCUGGUUAGGGAGGCUGAGAUUGAACUCAGAAGACUGCGUCUUCACCUUAUUCCCCUUGAGCUAAGGACACCCAGUCCUCGCCCAAUCACUCUGGUAAGUCUUCAAGGUAGACUUCCAAACCUUCACAGACUUCGUUCACCGGCGAUCCACAAUGAUUCUUGGAUGCUCAGAACGCGACACCUAACCGGCUGGAGGAUUCAUAGUCCUCAAGUGUAAUUAGUCUUCAGGUCACGCGGAUAGAAAGACUUCAGUGAUGCCUAACACUCUUCGGCUUUGGGGGUUUUGGGCUUUGUCCUCGCAAUGGUCUCCCUCUCAAAGGCUUCGGAGGUGGGUUGCUCUCAAACGACAAAAGCCGUGUAAUAACUCUGAGCAGCCACCAAUUUAUGGUGUAGGGGUGGGCUAUUUAUAGCCUGGAGGCAACACGACGUGAUAUGUCUGAAAUGACCCUAGGUCACUAAGGAACCGACACGUCUCCAACGGUUGGAUUCUAAACACAUGUGACAGCUUCGCUUGGGCUACAAGCAAAGCUGACUCAUCCAACUCUGGAUAAGAUUUGCUCUCAUUGUCUUCGCUCGAAGACGUAGGAUUUUGGUUGAGCAUCACAUCAUUCAUCUGACUUUGUUCACUUGGACCUAAUACGUUCAUUUUGCAUCAUGUUUUCUUACUGUUAUUUAUAAUGUUUUUAUCCAUAAUAAUGCUUUUUGGAGUAAUUCUAAUGCCUUUUCUCUUAUAAUUUGCAAGGUACACACCAAGAGGGAUAAUUCUGGCAGCUAGAAAUCUGGACCUGAAAAACUACGUCAGGCUACCUAUUCUGCACAACUCCAAACAAGCUGAAACUUCACGGGGUUUUCUAUGGAAUAAAUAAGAAUUACUGGAACAAAUAACUACCAGAGGGGGACCACCAGGGGGCAUAACCCACCUGGGCGCGUCAGGCCCCCUGGCGCGCCCUGGGGAGUUGUGGCCUCCUCGGCCCACCUCUGGUGCCCAUCUUCUGGUAUAUAGGUCGUUUUGACCUAGAAAAAAUAAGGGGAGGACUUACGGGAUGAAGCACCGCCGCCUCGAGGCAGGACUUGGGCAGGAGCACUUUUGCCCUCCGACGGAGCGAUUCCGCCGGGGGAACUUCCCUCCCGGAGGGGGAAAUCAUCAUCAUCAUCAUCACCAAAAACUCUCCCAUCUUGGGAAGGGCAAUCUCCAUCAACAUCUUCAACAACACCAUCUCAUCUCAAACCCUAGUUCAUCUCUUGUGUUCAAUCUUGUUACCGGAACUAUAGAUUGGUGCUUGUGGGUGACUAGUAGUGUUGAUUACAUCUUGUAGUUGAUUACUAUAUGGUUUAUUUGGUGGAAGAUUAUAUGUUCAGAUCCAAUAUGCUAUUUAAUACUCCUCUGAUCAUGAGCAUGUUUAUCAUUUGUGAGUAGUUACUUUUGUUCUUGAGGUCAUGGGAGAAAUCAUGUUGCAAGUAAUCAUGUGAACUUGAUAUGUGUUUGAUAUUUUGAUAGUAUGUAUGUUGUGAUUCCCUUAGUGGUGUCAUGUGAACGUCGACUACAUGAAACUUCACCAUAUUUGGGCCUAAGGGAAUUCAUUAUGGAGUAGCAAUUAUAUGGUGGGUUGCGAGAGUGACAGAAACUUAAACCCCAAUUUAUGCGCUAUUCCGUAAGGGACCGAUUGGAACCCAAAGUUUAAUGCUAUGGUUAGAAUUUAUUCUUAAUACUUUUCUCGUAGUUGCGGAUGCUUGUGGGAGGGUUAAUCAUAAGUAGGAGGUUUGUUCAAGUAAGAACAACACCUAAGCACCGGUCCACCCACAUAUCAAAUUAUCAAAGUAGCGAACCCAAAUCGAACCAACAUGAUGAAAGUGACUAGAUGAAAUUCCCGUGUACCCUCAAGAACACUUUGCUUAUCAUAAGAGACCGUUUUGGCCUGUCCUUUGCCUCAAAAGGAUUGGGCUACCUUGCUGCACUUUUGUUACCACUAUCGUUACUUGCUCGUUACAAAUUAUCUUGCUAUCAAACUAUUACGUUACUUACAAUUUCAGCACUUGCAGACAUUACCUUACUGAAAACUACUUGUCAUUUCGUUCUGCUCCUCGUUGGGUUCGACACUCUUACUUAUCAAAAAGAGCUACAAUUGAUCCCCUAUACAUGUGGGUCAUCAAGGCUAUUUUCUGGUGCCGUUGCCUGGGAGUGAAGCGCCUUUGGUAAGUGGAAUUCGGUAAGGAAACAUUUAUAUAGUGUGCUGAAAUUUAUUGUCACUUGUUACUAUGGAAAACAAUCCUUUGAUGGGUUUGUUUGGGUAUCUUCACCUCGUCCAGAACCACAAUUAAUUACCCCUCAACCUACUGCACCUACUAAAAAUAUUGAAUAUGAAAUUCCUUCGGGUAUGAUAGAACAACUGCUAGCUAAUCCUUAUGCAGGAGAUGGAACCGAACAUCCUGAUAUGCACUUGAUAUAUGUGGAACAAAUUUGCGGAUUGUUUGAGCUUGCAGGUUUACCCAGGGAUCAAGUUAUGAAAAAGGUUUUCCCUUUAUCUUUGAAGGGAAAAGCAUUGGCAUGGUAUAGGCUAUGCGAUGAUAUUGGAUCAUGGAAUUGGAAUCGUUUGAAAUUGGAGUUCCACCAAAAAAUUUACCCUAUGCAUCUAGUUCAUCGUGAUCGGAAUUAUAUAUAUAAUUUUUGGCCUCGUGAAGGAGAAAGUAUCGCUCUAGCUUGGGGGAGGCUUAUGUCAAUGUUAUAUUCAUGCCCCAAUCAUGAGCUCUCAAGAGAAAUUAUUAUCCAGAAUUUUUAUGCUCGGCUUUCCCGUAAUGAUCAAACCAUGCUUGAUACUUCUUGUGCUGGUUCUUUUAUGAAGAAGACUAUUGAAUUCCGGUGGGAUCUUUUGGAAAGAAUUAAACGCAACUCUGAAGAUUGGGAACUUGACGAAGGUAAAGAGUCAGGUAUUAAAAUUAAAUAUGAUUGUGUUAAAUCUUUUAUGGAUACCGAUGCUUUUCAAAAGUUUAGCACUAAAUAUGGACUUGACUCUGAGAUAGUAGCCUCCUUUUGUGAAUCAUUUGCUACUCAUGUUGAACUCCAUAAAGAGAAGUGGUUUAAAUAUCACCCACCUAUUAAAGAAGAAACUAAAGAACCGGUACAAUUAAAGAAGAAACUAUACUUUAUAAUGUUGAUCUAGUUGUUCCUGCUGCUUAUAUUGAGAAACCACAUUUCCCUGUUAGGAUAAAGGAACAUGCUAAAGUUUCAACUGUGGUUAACAAAAGCUACAUUAGAACACCUAAACCUGAUGAACAAAUUAAAGUUGAACCUAGUAUUGCUAUGGUUAAGGAUCUCCUAGAAGAAGAUAUAGAUGGGCAUGUUAUUUACUUUUGUGAGGAAGCUGCUAGAAUUGCCAAACAUGAUAAAAAGGAUAAACAUAGACCUAUUGUUGGCAUGCCUGUCAUCUCAGUUAAAAUAGGAGAUCACUGUUAUCAUAAUUUAUGUGACAUGGGUGCUAGUGUGAGUGCUAUUCCUUACACUUUAUAUCAAGAAAUUAUGAAAGACAUAGCACCUGUAGAAAUAGAAGACAUAGAUGUUACUAUUAAACUUCCUAAUAGAGACACCAUAUCACCAUUUGGGAUUGUUAGAGAUGUUGAAGUAUUGUGUGGGAAAUAAAAAUACCCUACUGAUUUUCUUGUUCUUGGUUCCCCACAAGAUGACUUUUGUCCCAUUAUCUUUGGUAGACCUUUCCUGAAUACAGUUAAUGCUAAGAUAGAUUGUAAGAAACAAACUGUUGGUGUUAUCUUUGGUGAUGAGUCUCAUGAGUUUAAUUUUUCCAAGUUUAGUAGAAAUCUUCAUGAAAAAUAAUUGCCUAGUAAGGAUGAAUUAAUUGGUCUUGCUUCUAUUGGUGUUCCACCUACUGAUCCUUUAGAACAAUAUUUGCUAGACCAUGAAAAUGAUUUACAUAUGCAUGAAAGAAAUGAAAUAGAUAAGAUUGUCUUUGAACAAUGUCCUCUGCUUAAACACAAUUUCCCUAUUGAAACUCUAGGAGGUCCUCCUCCACCUAAAGGUGAUCCUGUGUUUGAAUUAAAACAAUUGCCGGACACUUUGAAAUAUGCUUAUCUUGAUGAAAAGAAGAUAUAUCUUGUUAUUAUUAGUGCUAACCUUUCAGAACAUGAAGAAGAAAGAUUAUUGAAAGUUCUAAGGAAGAACCGGGCUGCUAUUGGAUAUACUCUUGAUGAUUUAAAGGGCAUUAGUCCCACUCUAUGUCAGCACAAAAUAAUAUGGAACCUGAUGCUAAACCCGUUGUUGAUCACCAACGUCGGUUGAAUCCAAAAAUGAAGGAAGUGGUAAGAACGGAAAUCUUAAGACUUCUGGAAGCAGGUAUAAUCUAUCCUAUAGCUGAUAGUAGAUGGGUAAGUCUUGUUCAUUGUGUUCCUAAGAAAGGAGGUAUUACUAUUGUUCCUAAUGAUAAGAAUGAACUUAUAACACAAAGAAUUGUUACAGGCUAUAGAAUGGUAAUUGAUUUUAGAAAAUUAAAUAAAGCAACUAGAAAAGAUCAUUACCCUUUGCCUUUUAUUGAUCAAAUGCUUGAAAUAUUAUCUAAGCACACACACUUUUGCUUCCUUGAUGGAUAUUCUGGCUUUUCACAAAUACCUGUUUCUCAACCUGAUCAAGAAAAGUCCACUUUUACUUGUCCCUUUGGAACCUAUGCUUAUAGACGUAUGCCUUUUGGUUUAUGUAAUGCACCGGCUACCUUUCAAAGAUGUAUGACUGCUAUAUUCUCUGACUUGUGAAAAGAUUGUUGAGGUUUUCAUGGAUGACUUUUCUGUUUAUGGGAAGUCUUUUGAUGAUUGCUUAAGAAAUCUUGAGCGAGUUUUGUAGAGAUGUGAACAAACAAAUCUUGUCUUGAAUUGGGAGAAGUGCCACUUCAUGGUUAAUGAAGGCAUUGUCUUGGGUCAUAAAAUUUCUGAAAGAGGUAUUGAAGUGGACCAAGCUAAGGUUGAUGCAAUUGAGAAAAUGCCAUGUCCUAAAGAUAUAAAAGGUAUUCGUAGUUUCCUAGUCCAUGCUGGUUUCUAUAGGAGAUUUAUCAAAGACUUUUCUAAAAUUUCUAGGCCUCUUACUAGUCUCUUGCAGAAGGAUAUUCCUUUUGUUUUUGAUGAUGAUUCUUUAGAAGCUUUUGAAACACUCAAGAAAGCCUUAAUUUCUUCACCUAUUGUUCAACCACCUGAUUGGAACUUGCCUUUUGAAAUUAUGUGUGAUGCUAGUGAUUAUGCUGUUGGUGAUGUUCUAGGACAAAGAGUUGAUAAGAAAUUGAAUGUUAUUCAUUAUGCUAGUAAAACUCUAGACAGUGCUCAAACAAAUUAUGCUACUACUAAAAAAGAAUUUUUAGCAGUGGUGUUUGCUUGUGAUAAAUUUAGACCAUAUAUUGUUGAUUCAGUAACUGUUUACACAGACCAUGCUGCUAUUAAAUAUCUUAUGGAAAAUAAAGAUGCUAAACCUAGACUUAUUUUAUGGGUUCUCUUGUUGCAAGAAUUUGAUUUACAUAUCAUUGAUAGAAAAGGAGCUGAGAACCCAGUAGUUGAUAACUUGUCUAGGCUUGAAAAUGUGCUUGAUGACCCACUGCCUAUUGAUGAUAGUUUUCCUGAUGAGUAGUUAGCUUCAAUAAAUGUUUCUCAUAGUACUCCUUGGUAUGAUGAUUAUGCUAAUUACAUUGUUGCUAAAUAUUUACCACCUAGCUUUACAUACCAACAAAAGAAAAAAUCUGCUAUGAUUUAAGACAUUACUUUUGGGAUGACCCACAUCUUUAUAAAGAAGGAGUAGAUGGUAUUAUUAGACGUUGUGUACCUGAGCAUGAACAGAGACAAAUCCUACGGAAAUGUAACUCUAAGGCUUAUGGAGGGCAUCAUGUUGGAGAUAGGACUGCUCACAAGGUAUUGCACUAUGGAUUUUAUUGGCCUACUCUCUUCAAGGAUGCCCGUAAGUUUGUCUCAUCUUGUGAUGAAUGUCAAAGAAUAGGUAAUAUCGGUAAGCGUCAAGAAAUGCCUAUGAAUUAUUCACUAGCUGUUGAAUGAUACGUCUCCAGCGUAUCUAUAAUUUUUUAUUGUUCCAUGUUGUUUUAUUAUCAAUCUUGGAUGUUUUAUAAUCAUUUUAUAGUCGUUUUAUAUCAUUUUUUGGUACUAACCUAUUGACAUAGUGCCAAGUGCCAGUUGUUGUUUUUUCCAUGUUUUUACAUCACAGGAAAUCAAUAGCAAACGGAUUCCAAAUGCCACGAAACUUCAUGAUGAUUUUUUAUGGGCCAAAAGGAAGCAGAUGGGCCCUGGUUGCACCUAGGGGAGUCCAGAGGAGGGGACAACCCACCAGGGCGUGCCAGCAGGCCCUAGCGCGCCCUGGUGGGUUGUGCCCACCUCGGGUAACCCCCCGGACCACCUCUUUGCUCUAUAAAUACCCAAAUAUUCCAGAAACCCUAGGGGAGUCGACGAAAUAUUCAUCCAGCCGCCGCAGAGUCCAGAACCACCAGAUCCAAUCUAGACACCAUCAUAGAGGGGUUCACCACUUCCAUUGGUGCCUCUCCGAUGAUGCGUGAGUAGUUCCUUGUAGACCUUCGGGUCUGUAGUUAGUACCUAGAUGGCUUUCUCUCUCUCGCUGAAUUCUCAAUACAAUGGUCUCUUGGAGAUCCAUAUGAUGUAACUCUUUUACGGUGUGUUUGUUCGGAUCUGAUGAACUUUGAGUUUAUGAUCAGUUAUAUCUUUUUAUAUUCAUGAAAGUUAUUUGAGUUUCUUUGAUCUCUUAUAUGAGUGAUCUCUUAUAGCCUUGUAUUUCUUCUCCGAUAUUUGGGUUUUGUUUGGCCAACUUGAUCUAUUUAUCUUGCAACGGGAAGAGGUUCCCGGUAGUGGGUUCGAUCUUACUGUGCUCGAUCCCAGUGACAGAAAGGGAAAUGACACGUAUGUAUCGUUGCUACUAAGGAUAAAAAGACGAGAUCUAUAUCUACCGCCAUAUAGAUAAACGGAUCUUGUCUACAUCAUGUCAUCGUUCUUAUUGCAUUACUCUGUUUUUCCAUGAACUUAAUACACUAGAUGCAUGCUGGAUAGCAGUCAAUGUGUGGAGUAAUAGUAGUAGAUGUAGGCAGGAGUCGGUCUACUAAUCUUGGAUGUGAUGCCUAUGUAAUGAUCAUUGCCUGGAUAUCGUCAUAAUUAUUUGAAGUUCUAUCAAUUGCCCAACAGUAAUUUGUUUACCCACGGUUUGCUAUUUUUCUCAAGAGAAGCCACUAGUGAAACCUACGGCCCCCGGGUCUUGUUCCUCAUAUAUUUGCCUUGCGAUCUACUUUUCCUUUGCAUUUUUAUUCGGAUCUAUUAAACUAAAAAAUACAAAAAUACCUUGCUGCGAUUUAUCUUUAUUUAUUUUGUUUGGCGUUCGAUCUAUCAAUCUACUACAAUUUACCUCACGCUCGCUUGCCUAUCUUGAGGCGCCGUACCCCGGAAGGGAUUGACAACCCCUUUAACUCGUCGGUUUGCGAGGUGUUGUUGUUUGUGUGCAGGUGUUGUUUACGUUGUGUUGCUUGGUUCUCCUACUAGUUCGAUACCUUGGUUUCUUAACUGAGGGAAAUACCUAUCGUCGCUGUGCUACAUCAUCCCUCCCUCUCCGGGGAAAUACCGACAUAGUUCCAGCUGCCAUCAAGGAUAAUUUCUGGCGCCGUUGCCGGGGAGGAUCUUCAUCAUAACCAGGUUCCUAAUCACAAAUCUCAUCUCCUUGCAAUUUACAUUAUUCGCCAUUUGCCUCUCGUUUUCCUCUCCCCCACUUCACAAAAUUUUGUCGCUUUAUUCGCCUCUCUUUUUCCAUUCGCCAUUUUCUUGCCGGAUCUGUUUUUGAGUGCAAUCUUGUUGUGUGGUCAUCAUGACUCAAGAGAACACCAAGUUAUGUGAUUUCUCAAAUACCAACAACAAUGAUUUUAUUGGCACUCCGCUUGCUCCUCCCGCCACUAGUGCGGAGACUUGUGAUAUUAAUACUGCUUUGCUGAAUCUUGUUAUGAAAGACCAAUUUUCCGUACUCCUAAUGAGGAUGCAGCAUCCCAUCUUAAUACCUUCGUGGAAUUAUGUGAUAUGCAAAAGAAAAGAGAUGUGGACAAUGAUGUGGUCAAGAUGAAAUUAUUUCCGUUCUCUUUGCGUGAUUCUGCAAAAAUUCGGUUCUCUUCUUUGCCUCGUAAUAGUAUUGAUUCUUGGAAUAAGUGCAAAGAUGCUUUUAUCACUAAGUAUUUUCCUCCCGCAAAAAUUAUUUCCCUUAGAACCCAGAUCAUGAAUUUCAAGCAACUUGAACAUGAUCUUGUUGCACAAUCUUGGGAAAGGAUGAAAAUGAUGCUAAGGAAUUGCUCAACUCAUGGGUUAAAUCUUUGGAUGAUCAUACAAAAAUUUUAUGCGGGAUUGAAUUUUGUUUCUCAUAAUCUUUUAGAUUCCACCGCGGGUGGUACUUUUAUGGAAAUUACUUUCGGUGAAGCCACCAAAUUGCUUGAUAAUAUCAUGGCAAAUUAUUCACAAUGGCAUACCGAAAGAGCUCCUACUAGUAAAAAAGUUAAUUCGGUUGAAGAAAUUUCUUCUUUGAGUGAUAAAGUUGAUGCUCUUAUGAAAUUGGUUGCUAGUAAAAGUGCUCCUAUUGAUUUUAAUGAUAUGCCUUUGUCUACUUUGAUUGAGCAAAAUAGUGAUGCCAUUGAUGUGAAUUUUAUCUCUAGAAAUAAUUUCAACAACAAUGCUUAUAGAGGUAAUUUUAAUCCUAGGCCUUUUCCUAGUAAUUCCUCUAAUAAUUAUGGUAAUUCCUAUGGAAAUCAAUCUUACAAUAAUAAUAGGAACACCUCUGAUCUUGAGAAUAAUAUUAAAGAAUUUAUCAACACACAAAAAGUUUUCAACACUUCCAUAGAAGAAAAGUUGAAUAAAAUUGAUGAUUUGUCUAGAAGUGUUGAUAGAAUUGCUCAUGAUGUGGAAAAUAUCAAGAUGAAAAUUUUUGUGCCUAAAGUAGAUGAAUCAAUUAAAGCUCUUUAUGUUUCUAUGGAUGAAAGUAAGAAAAGAACUGCUAUGCUUAGAGCUAAAAGAGAAUUUUUAGAAAAUGCUUUUUCUAGUGAUUAUUCUUGCAAAGAUGAUGAAGAUCUUAAAAUGAUUGGCAUUUCUUCUAUUGAUUCCUUGUUUAGUAAAGUUAAGAAUGAUGAAAAGGGGACUGGAGAAUAGUCAACUUUAGGUAGAAGGCGUCCCAAUAUUUUGGAGGGUGAAAAUUUUGUUGAGAAAAUUGAUAAAAGUGGGUUUGGAGAGGUCAAAACUUUAACUAGUGAUGUGCCCACUCUUUUGGAUUACAAAGACUUUAAUUAUGAUAGUUGCUCUUCGAUUGAUUGUAUUUCUUUGUUGCAAUCCAUGAAAAAUUCACCCCAUGCUUAUGAACAAAAUAAAGCUUUUACUAAACAUAUUGUCGAUGCUAUGAUGAAAGCUCUUGAAGAAAAAUUGGAAUUGGAAGUUUCAAUUCCUAGAAAAUUGCAUGAUGAGUGGGAACCUACUAUCAAAGUCAAGAUUAAAAAUUAUGAGUGUUUUGCUUUGUGUGACUUGGGUGCUAGUGUUUCUACAAUUCCGAAAUCUUUAUGUGAUGUACUUGGUUUUACUAAUCUUGAAGAAUGUUCUUUGAAUUUGCACUUGGCCGAUUCUACUAUUAAAAAUCCUAUGGGAAGAAUUAGUGAUGUUCUUAUUCUUGCAAAUAGGAAUUAUGUGCCCAUAGAUUUUAUUGUUCUUCAUAUUGAUUGCAAUCCGUCUUGUCCAAUUAUUCUUGGUAGACCGUUUUUAUGCACUAUCGGUGCUGUGAUUGAUAUGAAAGAAGGCAAUAUUAAGUUCCAAUUUCCUUUGAAUAAAGGUAUGGAACACUUUCCUAGAACAAGAAUUAAGCCACCUUAUGAAUCAAUCAUGAGGGCAUCUUAUGGAUCUCGAACCAAAGAUGACAAAACUUAGAUCCUUGCUUUAUGUCUAGCUAAGGGCGUAAAACUAUAGCGCUUGUUGGGAGGCAACCCAAUCAAUAAAAUUUAUUUUUGCUUUUUGCUUUCUGUUCUUGUGUGUUAGCACAAUCAUGCUACUGUUAUGAUUGUGUUUUUGUUGUUUUAAUUAGUGUUUGUGCCAAGUAGAACCAAUAGGAUCUUCUUGGAUAAUAGUUGUUUGAUCUUGCUGAAAAAGACAGAAACUUUGUGCUCACAAAAAUAAUUGUCAAAAUUCACCAGAACGUGAUAAAAUGCCAAUUCUUUUUGAAGAAUAUCAAUAUACAAAUUAUCUAGGUUGUCCUAGUUUUUCAGAAUGUUUGGAGUUCCAGAAGUAUUCGACAAAUCAGAUUGCUACAGACUCUUCUGUUUUGACAGAUUCUGUUUUCUUUGUGUUGUGUGCAUAUUUUGAUGGCUCUAUGGUUUUAUUUGAUGAGUUUUUGCAAUAGAAAGGUUGGAAUACAGUAGAUAUAAUACAAAAACAAAAUAAGAAUUGGUUUGAUACAGCACUUAUAGUAGUGGUUUAUUUUUCUUACACUAACGGAUCUCACGAAGGUUUUGUUGAGUUUUGUGUGAUUAAAGUUUUCAAGUUUUGGGUUAUCUUACGAUGGAUGAAGGAAGGAUGUAAGAGCCUAAGCUUGGGGAUGCCCCGGCAUCCCAAGCUAUUAUCCAAAAAUGAGCAACCAACUAAGCUUGGGGAUGCCCCCGAGUGGCAUCCCCGCUUUCUUCCAACAACUAUCGGUAUUUUACUCGAGGCUAUAUUUUUAUUCAUCACAUGAUAUGUGUUUUGCUUGGAGCGUCUUGUAUGAUAUGUGUCUUUGCUUGUUUUAUUUUGUGUUUUAAGUCAUCAAUCCUUGCUGGACACACCUAGAAUUGCUCUCUAUGCUUCACUUAGAUCUUUUAUGAGCUAGGACUUGCUCUAGUGCUUCACUUAUAUCUUUUUGAGCACGGUGUGCUUUGUUAUUUUUGAAGAAAUUCUCUCUUGCUUCACUUAAAUUAUUUUGAGACAAAGAAAAUUUGUUAUGCUCAUGAUCUUCACUUAUAUUUGUUUGAGCUUAUGAAAAGCAACACAUGAAAAUUAGUCCCAAAGUGAUAUAUAUCCAAGAAGGAUAAAGUAAAAGAAAAUGUCAUGAAGAUCAUUGGACAAAAUAAAAUUGAUUCUUAGUAAUAGUUUUGAGAUAUAAUGAUGUGAUAUGUGAGUUAUGUUGAUGAGUAAUUGUGCUCUAGUAGGAAUAUUGGUGUUAAGGUUUGUGAUUCCCUAUGCAUGCACGAAAGUCAAUAAUCAUGCAAUGAAAAUUAUAUCCUACUUGUGGUGCAUUAUUCGGUGUUAAUUAUGCUUAAUGCUUGCUUAUGAGAUUAUUCGUUUCUUGGUUGGUCGCUUCUCAAUCUUUUUGCUAGCCUUCAUUUUGCACUAAGAUGAUCUCUACUUGUGCAUCCAAAAUCCUUUAAACCAGUUUUGUCACAUGAGUCCACUAUAUCUACCUAUAUGCGGUACUAUUUUUCCGUUCUAAGCAAAUUUGCAUGUGCCAUCUCUAAUUUUCAAAAUAAACUUCUCUUUUGUGUGUUUGUUUCGCUCGCGGAACGGUAACGGGUGGCUAAUAUUUUCCAUGCUGGAUGUGUUAUUCUCAAGAUGAGUAUUUAUUCACUUGUCAUUGCACGAGAGUAAGGCAAACGUCUUAGGGAUGCCCAGUCCCGAAAUGCAAAAAAAUAUAUUUACUUUAUGUUGUCAAAUAAUAAAUUCCUUGGAAAAUGUUGGUAUGGUGGGCACCCGUGGAUACGGCUAGCCAUGGAGAGUGAAAGAAUGGUGGAAAAAGGAAUAAAAUUUAUUUUCUGUUUGGGAACCGCCUAUGGCAUAUCUAGCAUGGAAAGUGUUGGGAACUCUAAGUCGUUUUCGUUGGUGGGAUGGAUACACCUCCCAAAAUGUUUUUAUCUCUAAAUUUUUUUGCUUUGAGCUCUGGCACCUCUACAAAUCCCUACUUCCCUUUGCAAAGGGCCUUUCUUUUACUUUAUACAAUUUUUAUUUUGAAAUUUGAGUCUCCAUCUUCUCUCAUAAAAAGCACCAACUAGGAGGCAAUAUGACCGUGCUCAAGUAUUGGGUGUAGUUAAUAUUCGAGUGUGUUUCAUGAAUGGAUCAAUGUUUGAGCAUGACGGGCUAGGGAUAACUUAUUUUAGCGUUGAUAUUUUGAAAGACAUGGUUACUUGUUGAUAUGCUUGAGUAUCUAAAUUAUUAUGUCAAAACUAGACUAUUGCUUUGAAUCACAUAAAAGUCCAAAUGUCCAUGCUAUAAAGAAAAGAAUAUGUUAUGACAUGAUGAACAGCACUCCACAUCAAAAAUUCUGUUUUAUCACUUACCUACUUGAAGACGAGUAGGAGUUAAGCUUGGGGAUGCUGAUACGUCUCCAACGUAUCUAUAAUUUUUUAUUGUUCCAUGUUAUUUUAUUAUCAAUCUUGGAUGUUUUAUAAUCAUUUUGUAGUCAUUUUAUAUCUUUUUUGGUACUAACCUAUUGACAUAGUGCCAAGUGCCAGUUGCUGUUUUUUUUCAUGUUUUUUACAUCGCAGGAAAUCAAUAUCAAACAGAGUCCAAAUGCCACGAAACUUCACGAUGAUUUUUUAUGGGCCAAAAGGAAGCAGAUGGGCCCUGGUUGCACCUGGGGGGAGUACCGAGGAGGGGACAACCCACCAGGGCGUGGGUUGUGCCCACCUCGGGUACCCCCCGGACCGCCUCUUUGCUCUAUAAAUACCCAAAUAUUCCAGAAACCCUAGUGAUCAUUGCCUGGAAUACCCACCGUUUGCUAUUUUUCUCGAGAGAAGCCACUAGUGAAACCUACGGGCCCCAGGUCUUCUUCCUCAUAUAUUUGCCUUGUGGUCUACUUUUCCUUUGAAUUUUUAUUCAGAUAUAUUAAACUAAAAAAAUACAACAAUACCUUGCUGCGUUUUAUCUUUAUUUAUUUUAUUUGGUGUUCGAUCUAUCAAUCUACUACAAUUUACCUCACGUCCGCUUGCUUAUCUUGAGGCGCCGUACCCCGUUAGGGAUUGACAACCCCUUUAAUUCGUCGGGUUGCGAGGUGUUGUUGUUUGUGUGCAGGUGUUGUUUACGUUGUGUUGCUUGGUUCUCCUACUGGUUCGAUACCUUGGUUUCAUAACUGAAGGAAAUACCUACCGUCGCUGUGCUACAUCAUCCCUCCCUCUCCGGGGAAAUACCGACGUAGUUCCAGCUGCCAUCAUUGAACCAUUUGAUGUUUGGGGAUUUGAUUACAUGGGACCUUUUCCUUCCUCUAAUGGGUAUACACAUAUUCUGGUUGUUGUUGAUUAUGUUACUAAGUGGGUAGAAGCUAUUCCAACUAGUAGUGUUGAUCACAACACCUCUAUUAAAAUGCUUAAGGAAGUUAUUUUCCCAAGGUUUGGAGUACCUAGAUAUUUAAUGACUGAUGGUGGUUCACACUUUAUUCAUGGUGCUUUCCGUAAGAUACUUGCCAAGUGAUACGUCUCCAACGUAUCUAUAAUUUUUGAUGUAUUCAUGCCAUGUUUAUAAUAUUUCUACAUGAUUUGGUUAGAACUAACCCGGACUGACGCUGUUUUCAGCAAAACUACCGUGGUGUUGUUUUUGUGCAGAAAUAAAAGUUCUCGGAAUGCGCUGAAAAUCAACGGAGAUUUUUUCUGGAAUAUAUAAAAAAAUACUGGAAUGAAGAGUUACCGGAGGGGAGUCCCGUGGACCCCACGAGGGUGGAGGGCGCGCCCACCCCCUGGGGCGCGCGCCCUGCCUCGUGGACUCCCUGUGGGGCCCCCUGACUUGUUCUCGUCGCCAACCUCUCCUAUAAAUCCCCAAACUUCCAGAACUUAACCUAGAUCCGGGGUUUCGCCGCCGCAAGCCUAUGUAGCCACCAAAAACCAAUCAGGGCCCUGUUUCGGCACCCUGCCGGAGGGGGGGAUCCAUCACCGGUGGCCAUCUUCAUCACCCUGGUGCUCUCCAUGACGAGGAGGGAGUAGUUCACCCUCGGGGUUGAGGGUAUGUACCAGUAGCUAUGUGUUUGAUCUCUCUCUCUCGUGUUCUUGAUUCGGCACGAUCUUGAUGUACCGCGAGCUUUGCUAUUAUAGUUGGAUCUUAUGAUGUUUCUCCCCCUCUCUCUUGUAAUGGAUUGAGUUUUCCCUUUGAAGUUAUCUUAUCGGAUUGAGUCUUUAAGGAUUUGAGAACACUUGAUGUAUGUCUUGCAUGUGCUUAUCUGUGGUGACAAUGGGAUAUUCACGUGAUCUACUUGAUGUAUGUUUUGGUGAUCAACUUGCGGGUUCAGUGACCUUGUGAACUUAUGCAUAUGGGUUGGCACACGUUUUCGUCUUGACUCUCUGGUAGAAACUUUGGGGCACUCUUUGAAGUACUUUGUGUUGGUUGAAUAGAUGAAUCUGAGAUUGUGUGAUGCAUAUCGUAUAAUCAUACCCACAGAUACUUGAGGUGACAUUGGAGUAUCUAGGUGACAUUAGGGUUUUGGUUGAUUUGUGUCUUAAGGUGUUAUUCUAGUACGAACUCUACGAUAGAUCGAACAGAAAUAAUAGCUUCAUAUUAUUUUACUACGGACUCUUGAAUAGAUCGAUCAGAAAGGAUAACUUUGAGGUGGUUUCGUACCCUACAAUAAUCUCUUCGUUUGUUCUCCGCUAGUGACUUUGGAGUGACUCUUUGUUGCAUGUUGAGGGAUGGUUAUAUGAUCCAAUUAUGUUAUUAUUGUUGAGAGAACUUGCACUAGUGAAAGUAUGAACCCUAGGCCUUGUUUCUAAGCAUUGCAAUACCGUUUGUGCUCACUUUUAUCAUUAGUUACCUUGCUGUUUUUAUAUUUUCAGAUUACAAAAACCUAUAUCUACCAUCCAUAUUGCACUUGUAUCACCAUCUCUUCGCCGAACUAGUGCACCUAUACAAUUUACCAUUGUAUUGGGUGUGUUGGGGACACAAGAGACUCUUUGUUAUUUGGUUGCAGGGUUGUUUGAGAGAGACCAUCUUCAUCCUACGCCUCCCACGGAUUGAUAAACCUUAGGUCAUCCACUUGAGGGAAAUUUGCUACUGUCCUACAAACCUCUGCACUUGGAGGCCCAACAAUGUCUACAAGAAGAAGGUUGUGUAGUAGACAUCAAGCAAUUUCUUGCGCCGUUGCCGGGGAGGUGAGUGCUUGAAGGUAACGAGGAGGAGCCUUCUAUUCAACCAAUCUCAUUUAUAAGGAGCUCCAAAAAGAGGAUUAAACCCACACAUAAUGUGAAUAAGAAAAAGAAAAGACGGAUAAGCAAAGGUAAAAAGGUAUCCCUCACAAAUGAUGUUGCUCCUAUUACUCAUUGUGAUGAUGAUAAUUGCUAUACUAUUGGUGCUAUCCAUACCAUUAAUGAUGAGAGUGAUUAUGCUUAUGAUAUGAAAAGGCCCAAGCUUGGGGAUGCUAUGUUUGAUGAGAAUGACAUGUUUUAGAAUUUAUUUGCUGCAAUUAAUGUUUGUCCCAAGCUUGGGGAUGCUAUGUUUAAUGAAGAUGAUAUUUUUAGCCUCCCAAGUUUUGAUGAGCAAAUUUGUUAUGAUGAUAGCAUGCCUCCUAUUUAUGAUGAUUAUUGUGAUGACACUUAUGCUAUAAAAAGUAGUGAUGAUUAUAUUUAUAAAACUUUUCAUGAUUAUGAUUACCAUUUUUCUGAACAUUACUCUUUUAAUGUGGAAACAAUUUAUAGUAUUCGAGUCUCUUAUGAUACUCCCACUAUUCCUAAUGAGAAGAAAUUUGCUUAUGUGGAGAGUAGUAAAAUUUCUAUGCUUGUGCAUCAUGAAAAUAAUGCUUUAUGUGAUGGUUAUAUUGUUGAAUUCAUUCAUGAUGCUACUGAAAAUUAUUGUGAGGGAGGAAUAUAUUCUUGUAGGAAUUGCAACAAUAUCAAGUUUCCUCUCUAUGUGUUAAAAGUUUUGAAGUUAUGCUUGUUUUGCCUUCCUAUGCUAGUUGAUUAUUGUUCCCAUAAGUUGUUUGCUCAAAAAAUCCCUAUGCAUAGGAAGUGGGUUAUACUUAAAUGUGCUAGUCAUAUUCUUCAUUAUGCUCUCUUCAUGUUUCAAUUCUUAUCUUUUAUGUGAGCAUCAUUGAAAUCAUCAUGCCUAGCUAGGGGCGUUAAACGUUAGCGCUUGUUGGGAGGCAACCCAAUUUUAUUUUUGUUCUUUGCUUUUUGCUCCUAUUUAGUAAUAAAUAAUUCAUCUAGCCUCUGUUUAGAUGUGGUUUUAUGUUUUAAUUAGUGUUUGUGCCAAGUAGAACCUUUGGGAAGACUUGGGUGAAGUCUUUGCGAUCUUGCUGUAAAAAACAGAAACUUUUGCGCUCAUGAGAUUAUAUGCCACUUUUUACUGGAGAGUGAUUUUAGGUUGAUUCCUUUUGCAGAUGAUUAAUAGAUAAAUUCCUCAUGUCCACCAAUUUAUUUCAGAAUUUCUGGAGUUCCAGAAGUAUUUGUUUUAGUCAGACUACUACAGACUGUUCUGUUUUUGACAUAUUCUGAUUUCUAUGUGUUGUUUGCUUAUUUUGAUGAAUCUAUGAGUAGUACCGGAGGGUAUGAACCAUAGAGAAGUUGGAAUACAGUAGGUUUAACACCAAUAUAAAUAAAGAAUGAGUUCAUUACAGUACCUUAAGGUGGUGAUUUUUUUUCUUAUACUAACGGAGCUCAUGAGAUUUUCUGUUUGAGUUUUGUGUUGUGAAGUUUUCAAGUUUUUGGGUAAAGAUUUGAUGGAUUUUGGAACAAGGAGUGGCAAGAGCCUAAGCUUGGGUAUUCCCAAGGCACCCCAAGGUAAAAUUCAAGGACAACCAAAAGCCUAAGCUUGGGGAUGCCCCGGAAGGCAUCCCCUCUUUCGUCUUCGUCUAUCGGUAACUUUACUUGAGGCUAUAUUUUUAUUCACCACAUGAUAUGUGUUUUGCUUGGAGCGUCAUUUUAUUUUAUUUAGUUUUGCUUUCUGUUUGAAUAAUAUCCCAAUAUCUGAAAUUCUUAAAUGUUAGAGAGUCUUCACAUAGUUACAUAAUUAUUCGACUACUCAUUGAUCUUCACUUAUAUCUUUUGGAGUAGUUUGUCAUUUGCUCUAGUGCUUCACUUAUAUCUUUUUAGAACACGGCGGUGGUUUUAUUUUGAAGAAAUAGUUGAACUCUUAUGCUUCACUUAUAUUAUUCUGAGAGUCUUAAACAGCAUGGUAAUUUGCUUUGGUUAUGAAUUUAGUCCUAAUAUGAUGGGCAUCCAAGAGGGAUAUAAUAAAAACUUUCAUAUAAAGUGCAUUGAAUACUAUGAGAAGUUUGAUUCCUUAUGAUUGUUUUGAGAUAUGAAGAUGGUG